ACUAGGCUUCUUCCAAUUAGAUCCCUCAAGUAUCCCUCUGCAACAUCUUCCUUGCUGUCCAGCCCAUUAUUGGGUAUAAAUCCUUCAGCUAUCCACAACCAUGUCAACUUCCUAACUGGAAUGUUUUUAUCCUCCAAAAAUACUCCAGUAUAUAGAAAGCAAGGCUUCAAAUGGUUAGGCAAAUAUCUGUAGCUUAGCUCUAGUAUGUCCAUGCACCCCGUCACAGGAUCAUCCACAAUGUGUGAGCAAAUGCUUUCUGAAACUUGUUUCCACCAGUCUGGUAUCAUGUCUGUCCUUUCAAGGAGACCAGAUAUUGCAACAACUGCAAGAGGAAGUCCUCUACAGCUUUCUGCAAUUUUCUUUCCGACUAUCACUAAUUCAUUGGGGCACUUUUUCGUGUAAAACAACUUCUUUUGCAACAGCGUCCAGCUUUCAUCAUCAGACAGUAGCCGAAGGGGGUGAGGAGUACUAUCCGCUUUCAAUUUUACCGCCACAUCAAAGUGCCGACUCGUGAUCAGUAUUCUGCUUCCAUUGUUGUCAUUUGGAAAUGAUCGUUGGAAAUCGUACCAUGCCUCAGUGCUCCAAAUAUCGUCCAUAACAAUGAGGUACCUUUUCCCCUUUAGGCAUUGGUACAACUUCAUCUCUAAAUCUUCAUCACUCAUUUCAAGGAUAUCAUCCUUAAGUUCCACAAUUUCACCUAAAAUCUGAAGAAGCAAUUCUCUUCUUCGAUAUGUGUGGGAGACAUAACACCAUGCACGAGCGUGGAACUGAUAGGUAACUGAAGGAUCAUUAUACGCCUUCAAGGCUAAAGUUGUCUUGCCGAGUCCAGGCAUGCCAACAAUUGAAACAACAUCUAGCUGUGGUAAUCCAGCUGUAAGCCUAUCAAUGAUCAAUUUUUUUUCAUCGGUGAGAUCAAUCACAACUUCAUCAAUCAUGGGAAUCUUCGCUGGUGAUACCAUAUUCAUUGAAGAGGUGGGAACAUCAUGGAUGCUGAUGGUAUGUUCAUUCGUACAGAUUUCUGUGGCCUGAACCUUAAAAAGGUUGAGAUCUUCCAGGAGAUCAGAAAGCCAUAAUGGAUGAUACCAUCGCAAACAAUUGCCAACCACAAACGUUUCAAUGAGAUAUUCUGCCUCAAGUGAUACUUGGAUAAUGGACGAAACAAAACUUUUCAAAUCCGGACGGUCAUUAUACUGCUCUUUAAUAUCACUGAGGAAGGAUCUCAAGAACUCUAAGUCUCUGUGAACAGCAUGAACUUGAUGCCUCAAGGAAACAAGAAAUCCCGCUUCAGAGUUUAGCAGCUCGCUGAGAUCUCCUAAAAGACAAUCAAUGAAGCCAAAUCCUUCUGUCUUAGGGAAAUGGGAUUUUGAUGACCUUCGAACAGGCAUAUAAAUCUCUUUGAUCUUUGCAUUAACAAGGUCCAUCUUUCUUACUAACUUAGGAAGCACAUGACUGAAAUUCCCCACCGCAUGUUCUGCAAUAUCAUUUUUGAGAAGAGAGUAAUAAAAAAGAGAAGCAACCCUUGCUACUGACUCUGCAUCUGUUAAGAUUAGUUUCUCAUCAUCCUCCAGCGGACCCAUCAAAUAAGUUCUAAGGACUAUCAGCCCCAGAUCGAGGCUUUCCAUUUGGUUCUUCACAUUGACUGUGAGAUUUGGAUGUCCAUCAAGAAGCUCUUCCAAACGUAGUCGGCCAUUGAUUAUGAGAUCUGGGUUUCCAUCGAGAAGCUCUUCCAAAAGUAUCUCAGUCUUCAAAAGUUGAAUCUUGCAGUGCAACAUAGUUAGCUCAUGUUUGAACUUGUCUUCAGUGACUGACUUGGCAUGGAACGAUUGAUAAACAGAGCCAGCCUUCCCAGCCACAGGUUUGAUAUGCAACCAGAUCAGCUUAGGAGCUUUGCUUUUCCAUUUGGAUGCAUAUCUUUGAUAACUUUCCAAAUAGAAGAGUCCCUCAUGGAAAGAAUCAAUACGAUUCUCAAGGAGCUCCAAACUGAUCCUUUUCUUUAGUAGCUCAUCCAGGAAUACUUCCACUCUGAGAAGCUCAAUCUUUUCAAGCAACCUAAAAAAUGCAGAUACAUUUGUGCUAAAUAUGUAUCCUGUUGACUCUCCUAUCUCAUUAAACAAGUCACCAAAAUAUCCAAGCCUGGAAAUCGCUGCUGUGAUGUCCAUUAUAAGCAGCUUUAGAUCAAAUUUCUCUGGUUCUCCAACUUCAAGGACGAACAUUAUCAGGUGUUCAAGCCCUUUGAAGAAGGUUUCAAGUUGAGGAUCCUUCUCAGGAAAGAGAAAAUCGACAAAUGUUUCAACUGGAGUAGGGAUUGAUGUCCAGGUUUUCACCAAGGAAUAAGGCCUGAGUAAUUUCAGAAACAGCUGUACAACUUCUGUAGUAUCCAGCUUGAAUGCCUUCAGCAGAUCAUGAAGCAUAAUCGACAGCUCCUCGAUCUUGUCUUCUUCCAUUUGGUCAAUCCAGCACAAGCAACAAAAAUGUGCAGUGCGGACCAGUAAAGCUCCAAAAUGAGUCAAGAAAUCUCUGUCUAGAUCAAGAGAAAAUCUUACCAUAGUGCUGAUGAAGCUUUGGAGACGUUUAAGCAUCUUGGACAUGGUUUCGACUUUUAGGUGCAUAUAUUCUAGCAUCUUGCCUUUCCCACAAUAAAGCACCAGGACAACCUGCUGUAGAUUUUGGCAGAAGAGACUGCAGACACCAGAACGGCUUAGGGGAUGGUGCGAUUGAAAUGAAUGGUUGGAUGCAAUGCGUUCAUAAGCUGCCUUCAUCUGAGGCCUGAAAAGCAUAAGCUUUUGUUGCAACUCAGACAUUGCAACUCCAUAAUCACCCCUUGUAAGACCUUUGUGAACCAUGGACUCGUAUUUCUCAGGAUCAGCUCCAAAAUCGCUGCUUAUUUUACCGACACCUUCUUUCUUGGAAGCAACUCGAAAAUCAUUAGUUGCCUCUUUCAAAGCAGCAUCAAGGUCCCGGUCCAUCGACCCCAACUCCCGACCAACACCAAACUUCAUGUCAGCGUCACUCAAAUAUGCGACGUAGAUCAGAAGCAUUCUCCAGAGUCUCACUUCCGCUAUGAGGAUCCCAAUUUGAUGAUUAUCAUCCGGCUGACCUGACAAUAACAGCCUUUUCCGGAUAUCCAGCUCGGCCAAGAGAGAAUCAACAACACCAGUGCAAGUUGGAUUCUCGCUCUUAAUAAGUUUUCCAAAAGAUUCCAUGGGAAGUUGCUGAAACGAGCUCUAAGAGCCAGCUGCCAAAAACUAGUACUGGCAAGAAAGAGGGAGGAGAAUUGAGAAGAAAUGGGAUGGUUGAAUGAGUUAUAGAUUGAGAUAGAGGGCACAACAGAGAAAGACGUGACAUUAUUUGUGAUCGUAGAAUUAUCUAGAAAAGAUAAGGUUGUUGUUUCAAAAUAUCUAAGAUAAACAUUGUAAAAAGCCAGUAAUAACUCGCCUAGAUUACUAGCGGAUGCUAGGGUGAAUAGUUGAAGUUAUAAAUGAAUCUAUAAUCCGUCAGUAGGAAAGCAAGCAAAAAUCAAGAGUGCAGUAGCAUACUACACUCCCAAGUAGGGGUGGCAAUUUUUGACACGACCUGAAAACACGACACGAAUCUAACACGAAAUUAAUGGGUUUGGGUUGAGGUUUCGGGAAUUCGGGUUAGAAUCGGGUUGGACCCGAUGAAUUCGAAAAGAAAACAGGUCGAUUUCGGGUUAACCCGUGAUGACCUGAUAUGAUCCGAUAUGACCCGUUUACGAAUUAAAAAAUAAUUUAAUAAACAUAAAAAUAAUUCUAUCUAACUAAACUAAGUUAUUCUUUUUUUCAAAGGCAUUAAUUACUUAAUCCUAAAUGAAUUUAUUUAAUUUGUGUGAAGUUGAAAUUAUUAUAUUUGGACAAAUAAUAUAUUAUAUUAUUUUUUACUUUUAUACUGUUUUAAUUUAUUUUAUAUUUUGUUUGGGAUAAAACACUUUUAUGGUGUUUAAUUUAUUUUAGAUUUGGUUUGGAAUUAUUUAUUUAAAUUUUUAUUACUUGAUUAUGUAAUUAGUUUUGUGAGAAAUUGAUUUUUUUAGUUUCGGGUCAUUUUGGGUUGACCCGUCAACCUGAAAUUUUCGGAUUCGGGUCAGCAUACCUGACCUAUCACGGGUUGGUGGGUCGGAUUCGGGUCAACAGAUUUUCUGACGGGUUGACCCGAACCCAACCCGCCAACCUGAUUUGGACCCGGAUUGCCACCCCUACUCCCAAGUCCUCCAGUACGUGUCUUCCCCGUUGUAAUCAGAAGUCUAUCUUCAACAAAAUUAACUUGUUUACCAAAUCCUUUAGCACAUUUAAUCCAACUAGCAAAUACUGCACGUGACUAUAAUAAUUCAAAUAUAUUUUGAUAGCUACUAAAAUUUUUUGUGAAGUUUUGAGUACCUACCUUAUAAUAUAAUCAUGUGAAUAUAAUAAUCCAAAUAUAAUACUUUUGUAGCUAUUUAAAUUUGUUGUAAAGUUUUGACUAUCUACCUCAUAGUAUAAUUAUGCAUGCUUUUCAAUUUCUUUAACCAGUUUUGGUUGUAAAUAUUAUUCAAAUUUGAACUCUUUGACCUAAAGCUAUUAGAACCUUUUUUGAGCUUUUAUUGAUUAAAUUUGGGUUGAACUUUAUAACAAUUGUUAAUAUUAUCAUGUUUUACCAAAGGUGUUGUGAUUCCCCUUAAAUUAUAAAAUUGUACCUUUUGUACAGUUCAAAAUAAUGUUGUUGAGAAGGAAAUAUAUAUACAUAUAUAUAUACAUGCAUAUACCAAGUAUGCAUAUGAGAAGCAAAUCUAAUUUGCAAGUGCUACUAAAAUUUUAAAAUGGGCAUUAGAAUACAACAUAAAUUGAUUUGUUUGAUCUUGAUCAUUCUAAUUAUUGAAUUAUGCAUCUACUUUCCUCCCCCAUGUGUUCGCAAGCUCAUUUAUCAGUUGGUGUUCAAUAUGUCUUUUUCCAAUUGAAAAUAAAAUCUAUGAUGGACUUUCUAGUAAAAUUAUCAGAAUUUAAUAAUUAAAAAACUAAGAUUUUGUUAAAUUAUUAAACACUUCCUAAAUAUUAUUUGCAACAUCAAUGUUUAUGAAUACUGAUUAUUUAAUUGUAGAAUUAGAAUCGGUUGAUUAUUCAAGAAUAAAGUGCUUGAAUGGCAUUUCUUUUUUAUUUAGAUUCAAGUUUUCUACAAUUUUCGUCUCACAUAAAACCUAAUUCUUUGUAGGGAAGACAAUUAUUAUUUAUCAUAUUAUAUGAAUUCAAUGAAUUAGCUUUUUUACGAAGUUCUUUUGUAAGAAGUGAGUUGAGCUAUUUUUUUAAUCUUUUGACACCAUUUUGAAAAUUGUUUACAUACAUAGUGUUUGUAUGUGAACUCUUUGUAAUUAUUUAAUUCACAAGGGAAUUUUUAAUCCAUCAUAUUUAAUUAUUUUUGUUUGAAUGUUCGUUGUCAUCAAUUAAGAUUUCAUUGACAGAUGUAGUUGGAUAUUCUCUUUUUCAUUUUUCUUCUACUAUUUUUAUAAUUUUGUUUGGAGACAAUGCAACAUAAAGCACAAACAACAAUUAUUCCUUUUUCCUACUAAUUUGAUAAAUGUCAUGUUUCAUAUGGAUGCAUUUAAAUUAAUCCAUGGAUUUUUCUCCCUUUUGUCUAAGACAAAAAGCUCUAAUUACAAUAUCAAAAUCAGUUUAGUUGAUCAUAGGUAAAAUAUAAGAAAAUCUUUUGUUGUUUGCUUGGAUUUGGGUGACAUGAACUGUCAUUUCGGUUAAAACUAAAUUGUUUGCAUGUUUGUUAGUUGCAUGAAUGUUUAACUGCUCUCUUUUAUGUCUUGUUAGUCAUUUUACCUUUCAAUUUUUAUAUGAAUUUGAAUGAGAUAAAGUGAAGUGUAACAUCAUUUAUUGAAUUUGGACUAUUUGCAUUUUAUCUAAGUGCUUUUGUUGUUAAUAAAGAACGUAAUGAUUCACAAUGCUCAACCAUUUUAGAUAGGUUAUUUAUUGUCAGUUAAAAUUCAUUUGUUUGAAAUAGUUGGGGUUUUCUAUUUUGCUUUUGGUUUUUUUUUUUAUUUUUUCAUAUUGGUAAAAGUACAUAAUUGUGAAAUUUGCUCUUACUAUUUUUAUGAAGAUAUGCAAAUAAAUAAGGGAUCUUUUCUCCUUGUGUGUUCUCUUUUUUUUUCUAGAGAAUAUCUAUAUUUUGAUAUUGAUAAUAAUGGCUGAUGAGAAAAUUUUCAUACUUCGAUUAAGAAAUUUUGAUACAUAUAAUAAUUGGAGACAAAGUCCAAGAAUAGGUAAAUAGUUUUUAAUGGACAAUUUUUAAUUGUAAUUACUAAUAUUAUUGAGAUGUAAUCAAUUGGAUUGCUUUAUUUCUUUUAAUUGGUGGCACAUUGAAAUGCUAUAAUUCUAAUUAAAAUACAUGAGCAUAAUUUAGAAAUAAUAAAAACUAAAAUAAAAAAGUGCUUACACUUUUUAAUGCCAAGAUUCAUACUUUUUAUAUAAUAAUGAUAUAAACUUAUAUUUACACCCUUGUACCCCAACAAAAGAAAAGCCAACUUAACCGCUAGAGCUAGACAAUGUAGACAAAACUUGCUGUGGGAGUUUCAAGUUGAAAAGAACAUAGGAGACUUGGGAAGAAAAUGGAAGAUAUUUCUGACUUAGGCAGAAGAAAAUGUGCUGGGAAAGGAGGUUUCGAAGAUUGUGAAGAUUGCAGAGUGAUUUCCCAUACUUCUAAGAAGCGAAAUAUGUAAUCGAAUGCGAGAGACGGAGGACUAGAAAAUAGAAAAUAAUGAUAUUAACAAAAAAAAAAUCAACAACAACAAUAACUUGUGGUUUAAACACACCCUAAGUGUGUGUAAAUAAAAGAACAUUACAGCAAAAAAUUAUGGAAGUCAUUCAAAGUUAAUGGAGGUCUUAUCAUAUUGAUAAAAAGAAAACUUUGUAAGGAAAAAAAAAAGAUGGAAGUUAUUAAAAAAAUAUUUUUAGGCGCUACAUGCAUAUAUGGUAUAGAUAGAUAGCAACAAUCAUAAUAAGGAAUAACGAAAACAGUAAAUUUUAGUAAAAUUAACAGAUUGUUUAUUGAAUUAAUAUGGUAAUAGUAAGUAGCAUGUCUGAAGAUUUAUUUUUUUUAACCAAAAAAAAUUGAUAGCCAGCCAAAUUUGCGCCUUUGAUGUAUGUAAAUUUAUACACCCGAAGUGAGAAACAGCCAGAUUCUUCAUGCUUUCCCAUAAACCAAUCCGCAUGCUGCACUUUUUACUGAUUAGAUCAUAUUAUAGAGGGAAGAAAAUGUAUUUUAUUAGAGAAGUCAGAAUUGCAAAGUUGGCCUACGAUUUAAUAUUUUUGGUUUGAAGAAAAGACAAGGAUACACACACACACACAUCCACAAAAGAGCCAGGAGAGGCCAAUGGUUGCAGCUGAUCAGAGAUCCAAAGCGACAUAAGAUAAGGGGGGUGGAGAGGGAAUUGGAUAAUAUCUACAGCCAGCCAUCAUUUAUGUUCAUCAAAAGAGCAUUUAAGACAGACUAUCAUCUGCUUGAUUGAACUCUCGGGGGCAGAAUUCCAGAUCUGUUCCAUUAGCUUUUGGCAAUCCUCUAUCAGGGGAUCCAUGUUCAGCUGCCUUGCUUGUUGAUGCUUGGCUAAGCUGCCCACAGCACAUUUAGCAUCAGAGUAAAUUAGUGAACAGGAGAUUUUAUUGGCAAUAGCAAUCGAUAAACCAAGUCUCAAAGCACAUAGCUCAGCACAAAGAGGGACUUCGAAAUAAACCUUCGGCGCCAGCCACCUUGUUAAUAACAUUAGCACCAUCAACAUGCAGAAUGACGUUUGCCUACGAUUUAAUUAUGAUAAAAUUCUUUAAUUUUGAUCGGGUUAAAUCCACACAUCUACAAUUGAAAUCCUCACCCCUAGAACCAAAACGACAGAAAAGCUUAUAGCAUUUAUGGUAUUUUGUAGAAACUUUCUCAAUGCCAAAAAUCAGUUUUUCUGCUGUGAAAAUUGAUGGUGCUAAUUUGGAUUUAUAUUUUACAUCAUUAUGAAUUUUUUCAAAUUCAUUCACUUUGAUGGCAUUUAUUUUUUCCUCUUGUUUGAUAGGGAGAAUAUUUUUACCUCUUCUUAUUAUGUAAGGGAAGAUGAGAUUUUUUUUUCUUUCUCUUAUCUAAAUUGUGUUGGGAAAAUUGUUUUACUUUUGUCGUAUAUUGCACUUAAAAGUUGAUUAAAGUAUAUACUUAAAAAGCACUGGCUGCUGAUAAUUAGGAUGACAGUAUCAAAGAGCUUCAAUUAAUUAAAUUUUGUUAUUAUCUUUCCAAAAAAGUACUCUUUUAUGAAAUGCAAGUUUUUGUAUAGAAAAAAAGGUUUCUAUCAUACCCUCACAAAUGCUAUGGGCUAUAUUAUAACCUUAAUGCUAAGUGUGUGGAUUUAAAUUGAGAGGGUGUGGAUUUAACUCUACCCUAAAUUGAACAACCUUAUGAAACUUUUUACAUAUGGUCUUUUCAUGUCUAAUUGCUUUUAAUUUCUUGUUUAUUUGUGAAAAAAUUUUAAAGGUUCCAUCACCUAAUACCCACAUGCACAUUUCUUAAGGUAUUAAUAUCCUUUUUUUAAAAAAAGAUUUUUUUAAAAAUUUUUUGGUCUAAGGAAGACUCCCAACCUUAUUACAAGACAAAGGGAGAAAGGAAAGGAUUUGAGAGUUGUAUUUAGGAACCCAUAAAUUUACCGAUUAAUGUUCCUACCAGUUUUUAGUGUAUUAACUUGUUAAACUAAACUAAAUGAAGAAAAAAUGUGUAGGAAUGCUUGGUUACAUUUGGAAAAGCCUAAUAUAGUAAUCAACUUCAAAACUAAUACCUAGAAAAGUCUCAUAUUUUAACCUUCUAAAAAUACUUUAUAAGGCUUCCAGGUUUCUUUUAUCAACUAUCAUUUGCAUAGCUUUAAACACUUUGUACUCAAGAUGCUCCUUUUUAUUAUAUACAAUAAAAGAAAACUUGAUCCAAAGUUAAUUAAUUUUUAUUCAUCGGGCAGUUUUAGGCCACUAAAUUAUUAAGAGUCCAUGUUUCGGUUGUUUAUGUAAUCAUGACUAAUUGAAAUUAAGAAUGUAUUGCUUGAGUUCUUUUUGCUUGCAAAACAACUUCUUCUUCCUUCUUGGGAAGUAUAAUAGUAUUUUUUUACUUGUUUGUUUGAAUAAAUUUCUCUUGUAAGUUUUGAUAAUAAAUAUUUUUUCUUUUAAGAUUUUCUAAUAAAAGUUUCUUCUCUCCUAAAUUUUAUAGUCAAAGUUUUCUCCUCUAGGAUUUUCCUUUGAGAGUUUUUCUUUAUUGUGUCCAUUGCUCAAAUCCAAACUAAAAAAUUACUCCUCACGUGAAUUUUGAUUUGGAAAAAUCAUUCUCUAUGGUUCAGAGUUUUUUUUUAAAAAAAAUUUCAUCUAACCAUUUUUGUUCUUGAGGAUUCUUUGUGCUUACUAGUCCACACAAUCCUUUUGUUAUAUUUACAACAAAUUUGUUUGACGGUUUAGUAUGCCUCUGUUGUGGAACGAGUUGCCCCUGAGUUCAGGGAUCCCUCAUCCCUAUUGAAAUAAGUUAUUUAGAAUUCAAAUUUAGGUUAUUUUCAUGGUUCUAUUGUUGUUUCCUAUUUUUCAUUGUAUUUUCUUACGAAUUAGUAUUAGUUUGUUUCCCAUUCUAAUUAGGUAUUUAGGAGCUUUCUUAGUUCAAAAGCUACCUUAUCUAGGUUUCCUAUCCCUAUUAUGACUUUACUAGAAGUAGCUCUAUAAAUAGGCAUAUCUAGGAUCUUUGUAAUUAUUCUUCCUUCAUCAACUAUUAAUUAAUGAAUUCCUAAUUGGUCUUUCCAAUUUUUGAUAGUUUUUUCUCAUUAUUGUUGAAUCUUUGUUUCGUGUUUUGGGAUUAGAACAUGAUUCAUUCCCUUUGUUCUUUCUAUUUAUGGAUUUCAUUUGUGAAACAAUUCCUUAAACAUGGUUCCGCAUCAUGUGGUAUCAGAGCAAGAUUCGCUUGUGAUGAAUCCUGAUUCAUUCCAUAGUAGUUUGGAUCGUUUCGAGACUACCUUAAAUCAUGGUGAAGCACGAAUAGACCGAAUGGAACGUCUUCUUCAUGAGCCAUACGUAGAGUUUGAAGCAAACAAUUACUCCAAGAGACCUGUACAUCACUGUCGUCCGGUUGGGAGAAUUGCUCUUGAUGAGCCUAGUAUUCGUGCAAUCUGAUUGAGUUCUCAUAGUUAUCAAAUCUAUGAAGAUCGCGUUUGCGGGAUCACUCAUUGUCAGCAUUUGAUCUGUGAAACUAUAACACCAAUAAUUGUAGGAAAAUCUAAACCAAUCAUCCAGCAGUCCAUGUAUAUGGCUCCCAAUCUUUCACCAAAGGAAGAAGAGACCCAGAGAAAUCAAUUAUUCUGAACCAGAUGUAGGAAUUCUAUUAAUGACUUCUAUUUGAUAAUUGAUGUUGGUAGUUUUUCAAAUAUGGUUUCUAAGGAAUUGGUUGAUAAAUUAAAAUUGUCUAUUAAAGAGCAUCCAAAACCUUAUAGGUUGGUUGGAUAAAAGGGGUUGAAUUUGUUGAGGUAAAUUUAAGAUGUCGUGUUUCAUUUUCAAUUAAUAAAUAUAUUGAUGAAAUUCUAUGUGAUGUUGUGGAUAUAGACACUUGUCACAUAUUGCUGGGACCAUGGCAGUAUGAUGUAGAUGCAACACACAGUGAAUGUGACAAUAUAUAUAGUGAAUGCAACACAUAGUGAAUGUGACCAUGGCGUUAUUUUUAUGCCGUUGAUGCUGAGUUUGCAGCCUAAGUCCCCUACUUCAGUUCAAAAUAAAUUGCUCAAUAAUGUGCAUGAAAAUUGUGAAGUAACUACAGGUAUAAAGGGAGUUGAUAGGGCCACGUCUUGGCAAAGGUUCCUGAUUGAAGAACCCCAAGUAAAGACAAUUGAGAUUUUGGAAGUCGUAAAUAAUUUUAGCUCUUCGACAAUAGAUGCAAGUGUUCAUGAUUCUUCAACCAUGAAGGCCAAUGACUUAAAAGAGCUAUUACCGAAAUUUGCUGAGCCAGUUGCUGUCCUGGAUCUUGAGAAUUUUACUUUUGGUAAGGACAUUAUUUUGACAAAUUUUCUCCAAUUGAAGAAUAUUUUCCUGUGAAGACCAAGAUAUUUGAGUUCCUUAUCAAUCGGAAAAAAAUCAUAAAAUUUGUAUGAACAAUGAAAGCUACUGAAAUUAUAGGAGUCGAUCUUUCCAUACGGUUCCUAGGAUCGCAUGGAGUUUCUUAUAAGCAUGAAUGGGUGCUUAGAUUCCAUCACAAUUAUCAUCCUUACAAGAUUUAUAGGAGAGUGAUUGCUGUAUUUUCUCAUAGAUUGUGUGUCAAGCUCCUUCGUGGAACUCGAGGGUGAGUUCUUUUCAAGCGAGGUAGUUUGAUGUAGAAUGAGUUGCCCUGUGCUCAGGGAUUGCUUGUUCCCAUCAAAAUAAAUUAUUUAAAAUUUAAAUUUAUGUUAUUUUCAUGGUUUUAUUGUUUCCGAUUUUUUGAUGUAUUUUCUUAGAGUUUAGUAUUAGUUUGUUUCAUGUUCUAAUUAGGUAUUUUGGAGCUUUCAUAGUUCAGAAGUUACCUUAUUUUAUAAGUUUCCUAUUCCUAUUAUGUCUUUACUAGAAGUAGCUCUAUAAAUAGGCAUAUCUAGAAUCUUUGUAAUUAUUCUUCCUACAUCAACUAUUACCGAAAUUUCUAAUUGGUCAUUCCAAUUGUUGAGAGUUUUCUCUCGUUAUUCUCGAAUAUUUGAUUCAUGUUUUGGGGUUAGAAUGUGAUUCUUUUCCUUUGUUCUUUCUAUAGAUUUCGUUCGUGAAACAAAUCCUUAUUAUACACUUCUGCUACCGCAUUGCUGGUGAGAGUCUAGAGACCAUUCUUUAGUGUUCUUUUUAUCUUUUUUGUUUUUACUUGAGUAAAUAUUGGAUUUAUGACAAGCAGUUUUUAGAGUUUCAUAAAAAAAAUUUAUAACCAAAUAUAAAUAUGAAACGAGAUGCGUGUUACUGAAUGUAGAAACCAGCCACAUUAUAUGUAUAAAGUAGGCAACUUGAUAGUGAAAGUAGAUGGAAUAACCCAAAAGAUACACGUUUCAUAGUUGAGUGGGUAAAUUGUAGAACUAAAAACAGAACUUAUGGAGAUAUAUUUCAUAAAACCAAUAUAGGUGGGGAUCGGAGGCAAUUUACACACAUAAGAAUAUGCGUGGGAGAAGAAAAAUAAUACUAAUAAUAAUUUAUUAAUCACAUCAUAAGAAUAAGAUUCUCAAUCCUUCACUCUUCUCAACUAAACACAAUAAUAUGACAUCCUAUUUAUAAACUAGAUGACUUGAUAAACAAGUCUUACACCACAAGAAAUUUCCUAAUAAGAUACUAAUUCCUAAAUAAUAAAACUAACAUAACUUGACUCCAAUAGAAUUACUAGAACCCUAACUUAACUAAAACACUACUAAAUAAUAAUAUGAAAAUUUUUAAUUUUGAGUCUUGAUGUAAUAUACCAACAUUGCCUCCCUUAAAUCAAACUCUCUCUUGGAUCUGGUUCACCACCAUCACGAUCAAUAAUCUGCCUUGAUUUUUGCUACUGCAAUAUUCCACGCACUUGGACAAAUUUAUCUAGUUGCUCAACUUAUUUUUCACUUGCGAAAAUAAUCCAUACUUCUAGAUAGACUGUUUUAGUCGGCCAAUUUGAUGUCAACUUAUUGACAAUUUACUUUAUGAUUUUCAUAAUCACAAUUCAACUAAUAGGAUUUGUAGACACCAAAAUUUUACCAUUUUUCCUUCAUUUUUAUUCCUAUUUUUGUUCAUUUUAGUUAAAUUUUAUUUAUUUUGUUUCAUUUCUAUUUCUUGGUAAAAAUCACUUUUUUAGAAAAAUCGGAAAAAGAAAAGGAAAGAAAAAAAUCAAUGAAAAUGCAGUUUUUCUAUAUAAAAAAAAAUUCGUAUCACGCACACGUUUCCUUCCUCAUCUGAUACCAAAACCAGAAUAUUAAGUACAAGAGGUGGCAAAAUUUUUUGAGCAAUUUUUGGGUCAUUUUUGUUCUUAAUUUCAUUGCCCUACACAUUUAUACAAAGUACAAGGACAGCUAAUCUUCCUUAAAGUAUUUGGGGACACCUGGAAAUUGGAUCCAAGGGAUCCAAAUCUACCAUGAAGCUUAGUUUUCUCAUCCACCAUUAAUCUAAGGGUUUGGUUGUUGGUUUCUCAUAUAAAAGCUCCAAAAAACAUAGCACUAAGAGAGAGAGAACAGAAGAGAGGCGGCUGCCAAAGGAAAAGGAACGAAAAACAGCAAAAAAGGAGAGAAAACGGGAGAGGGAGUGGAAAAAUAAUUGCAGAAAAUUUCUGGAAAAAGUGAGCCGGGGUUGAGGGUUGGGAGGCCUUCUUGAUCCUUUUUCGAUCUAUGUAGAGACUUUUUGGAGAAAAGGCCUCCUUGAUCCUUUCUCGAUCUAUGUAGAGACUUUUUGGAGAAAAUAUUAGUUUGUGAAGGUUCUAUGACAUUCAAGGAAGAAGAUUGAUGUUGAAAAUUUUCAAAGAAAACAUCAGAAACAUCAUCGAAUUUGGGGUUGAACUUGCUGCCUUCGUCAUCCUUGAAGAGCUGCAACAGAAAAUUUUAGCUUUUUUUUUUGGGACGAUUGCAUUUGGUUUUUCUCGCAUCAAUUCAGCGCCUCAAUCAUUUAUAGGUAAUAAUAACUUCUCUUAUCAGUUGAUUUACACUUUUCAUGAGAUCUUGGGGCCAUUUGCAUGAGCUUUUGGAUUAGGUGUUUUUGGAGGUGUUUUUGAAAAAUUUUGCUGUAGAAGAGUUUUUAGAUUGGGAUAUUUUCAGAAAAUAUUUUGGGAUAUUUAAAAGUAGAAGAGUUUCUAGAAUAUAUUUUGGGAUAUUUUUAAAAUUUUAAAAAAAUUUAAACUAAUUUUUAGAUUAUCUUUUAGAGUACUUUUUAAAAAUUUUUAUUAUAUUUGAAAAACUAGUUUUUGAAAAACAGUCCCAUCCAAACAGAGAUGGACCCAACUUCAAUUUACCACAAGCUUGCUUCUUCCUUUCCUUUGCUGUGUUUUUCUGUUUGGUUUUCUUGUUGGUUCUUCCAAAGAUAGACAAUCAUGUUUGGGCGUUGUUAAUAAUGAUGGGUUGAAGUUUCUGUUGGGUUUUUGCUGAUGAAUCCACAAAGUUUGCUUGAGUUCAUGGCUGGUUUUCUUGUGUUGAAUAAGUUUUUUGGGUUGUUGCGGAAGAAAGCUACGAAGAAGAUGCAUUUGAUUUUUGGAAAUUGCACUUUUGACCCUUACUUUUUAUGUAAUUUCAUUGUGGCCCAAAUCUGUGAAAUUGGACCGAUUUUGCCCAUUUUAAGUUAUAAUUUUCUUUUUCAUGUUUUAAGUGGGCUUUUAGGUAGAUUAUUUCUAGUUUUUAUCAUGUAUUUAGGGUUUAAUAAUUUUUGGAAAGAUUUAUUAUCUUGUUGGGUUUAAUAAAUAGUUUAGGUUUUGAGUUAAUAUUAUUUGGUUGGGUUUGGCAGAUGGGUCUUGGUUAUUUUUCUGGGUUUUUGGCAUGGGCUUGAGACGGUGAAGCCCACUACUGAUUGGGCUUGGUUGGUGAAAAUGAUGGGCUGGCCUACUUGUUUUUAUUGGAUUAUUAGUUGGGCUUAGGAAUUCUUGGCUUAAAAAAAUUAAAAGAAAUGGCCCAAUGCCCUUUUUGUCAAGCAACCUGCUAACGAAAUUGCAUUCUGGUCCCUAUACUUUUGAGUAAUUUUCUGUUGCCCUAUCUUUUGAUUUCUUUCAAUUAGGUCCCUAAUCUAAUUUGAAUUUGGUCUCUAAACUUUAUUUUUAUUUAAUUUUGACCCUAUUUUUGUCAUAAUUGUAAUUUGGCCCCAAACACUUUCUUAAUUUUUGCAAUUAGGUCCCUAACAGUUUUGAUUUUUUAAAUAUAAGUUGCUUUUCUUCUUUAAUUGUUAAUUAUACUUCAUUUAAGUGUUUUAAUUGGCAGAUUUCAUGAUUAUAGUCAUUUCAUUAUAAUUAAAUUGGUGUCUUGAUCAUUUUGUUGAUUUUGGAGCAUAAAUAGGGCAAAUUUCACCCUAUUUAACUACAACUUCAAGGGAGGUAACCUCUUUUAUUAUUUUAAAUUCUUUUAUGUGCUCUAAUGUGUUUUAUGUGUAAUUGCAUGUUUUGAGUGUUUUUUCUUUUAAUUAUUCAUUUUAAAUUUCAUUUAUUUUAUUUAAUUUUGAUGAUUAUUUGAAAGGCAUUAAAAUGCCAAAUUGUAAUAGAUAAGUGUUCAAGACAUGUAUUUAGUUAGGCUAUAUAAUAGCUAGAUUUUAAUUUUGCCAAAAAUGUAAUUAGUUAAAUAAAUAUAAUAGUUAGGUUAUUAUUUUUUAAUUUCCCCCCUUAGAUUGUAGUUAGGGUCCUGAAUGUAAUAGUUAGGCUUUUAUGUGUGUUUCUUUCCUUGUGUGCUUGCAUGCUUAUGUGCUUAUGUGUUUAUUCGUUUUCUUUAGGGUCUUUGCAUCUAGAUAUCAUGCCUACGUGUUAUGUGCUCUAUGUGUUUUAUAUGUUUACUUGCUUUAAUUAUGUUUUAUAUGAUUUAUUUAGUUAUAAUAAAUGCAUGACAUCACCACACUAGUCCAACGCUAAUUGUGGUCUUUCUCCCCGAUUUCUCACUAGUCCAACGCUAGUGAAGAUUUGUAGAAAUGAGUUAGUCCAAUGAUAGAUCCUUUAGGCCGUUUUCGCGCUAGAAUUCAUACUUUGCUUGACAUUUAUUGCAUUUCAUGCAUACUUUUCACUUUUAGGAUCCUUUUCCUCAUUUGGCAUGAUAUUUCCUUUAUAUUAUCUACCUUAUCCCUAUGUGCGCAAAACAUGACAUUUAGACUUGCAUUCCAUUUAGGAAAUUAGAAGUAGGCUAGUCCAUUCGCUUGAUUAAGUUAGAGAGUUACCCUUCAAAUAUGGAAAAUGGACGAGUAUGGCUUCUUAGCCUUAGCACGCUUAUAUCUCCUCUAUAAAAAGGAAAACUGAGUCCCGAAUCUUAGUCCCCCAUACCCGUUAUGUUGCAUUCCUCUCUUUUAGGUCAUGUAUGUUUAUAUAUUAUAAUUUUUCUUUCCUUUGAAUGUUAUUUUUACAUAUUCGUGACCUCUUCUAAGAAUCAUUUUUUGGCAUCACAAUUAAUGUGAUUUGCACCAAUUAAACUUUAAAGAGAUAUUUUGACUCUCUCGAUAUCCAUUAGGUCAAGAUUUGCAUCCAUGUAGAAACAUCCAAAUAUGAUAAGUUUGAUAGGUUAAAUUAAAAAAAAAUUUGACUAAAUCAUGUAACUAAUGUUGGUUAGGUUGAAAGGGCGCCUUAGAUCAAAUCUUUGCCUUACCUUUCUUCAAUCGUGAUUCCCGAACUCUUUUCUAUUGUUUUUCGAAGACCUGGAGUCGUCUAAAAACGGUUUUGUUUAUUUUUUAUUAAAAAACAUAUUUUUGGGUGAUUUGGUAUACCUUAACUCAAUAUCAAGUGGCGACUCCUAUUUUUCCUAAAAAUCCUUUUUAAACUAUUAUUUUGGAUCAAAACCGUCGCACUUCUUAAGUCCCAUUUUAGACCCUUUUUCUUUUAUUUUUCAAAGACUCAUUUUUCCAUUCGCUCAAAAUUAAUCAAAAAUUCAUUUUUUAUAACUCAUAAUUUUUAUUUCAAAAAUGGGGCGCGACAAGAUUCUUCUUCAAUCUUUGCUUUCAUAACCACAAUCAAUUUGACAAUUUUUCCGAACCAAUCUUAUGGUCGAAUCCUCGCAAAUUAGACAUUCCAUGACCAACCUUGCGAUCUAACUCGAUCAAUUAAUUUUCUCGCAGCAAUUUUUAUGCUCUAACUUUGACAGAGGAAGAAACCCACAAUUAACCGUCGUAAUCGGGUCAAUUUUUCAAAGUGUACAGGAACCCAGCAUGUAAAACUUCAGGCUCUGAUACUAGAUGUAGAACUAAAAAAAUUCAAAAAGAAAACUACGGGAGAUGUAUUUGAUAAAAUUAAUAUAUAUGGGGAGGCAAUUUACACAUAUAAGAAUAUGUAUGGGAGAAGAGGAAUAAUACCAAUAAUAAUUUAUUAAUCACAUCAUAAGAACAAAACUUUCAAUCCUUCACUCUUCUCACCUAAAUACAAUAAUAUGACUCCGUAUUUAUAGACUAGCUGACUUGAUAAACAAAUCUUACACCAUAAGAAAUUUCCUAAUAAGAUGCUAAUUUCUAAACAAUAAAACUAACAUAACUUGACUCCAACAAAAUUACUAAAACCCUAACUUAACUAAAACACUACUAAAUAAUAAUAUGGAAAUUUUUAAUUUUGAGGCUUGAUUUAAUAUGCCAACAUUAAUUCAUACUCUUAAAAGCUGAAUGGUCAAAAUUAUGCCAUUUCAAAUGCUUGCUGGAUAACCGGAUAAUUUGCUUUAACUAGUACCACGCAAUAAGUACAGGAAAGGGCCAAAUCUGCAGAAGUGUCAGGUGUAUAUAGCUGGUUUGAAUGUACAGGAUGCCACUGGUCUAUGUGAUAUGAUGAAGAUGUCAAGGGGUGUGCUACCUGUAAAAUGCCUGGAUCUACCACUAAUCAGUUCUAAGCUAUCAUACAAAGACUGUCAGCCUAUUUUUAAUAAACUGGAGCAAAAAAUCAAGGGGUGGGCAAACAAAAAAUUGAGUUUUGGAGGUCGGUUGCAAUUGAUUCAAGCACUGUUAUCUAUACUGGUGCAGUGUGUUUAUUUUGCCUAAAGCAGCGAUAAAAAAAAAAGUGAAUAAUUUACUAGCUUCAUUCCUUUGGGCAGGAGAGAUUAAGCAAAUGUAUGGUGCUAAAGUUAGAUGGAAGGAGGUAUGUGCGCCAAAACAGGAAGGUGGCUUUGGAUUAUAUAGUACUGAGAUAUGGAACAAAUGUCUGAUUGUGAAGUUAAUAUGGAAUAUUAGUAGUAAGAAGGACACAUGAUCGGUAAUAUGGGUACAUAGCAUCCUCUUGAAGAAUCAGUCACUAUGGGCUAUUAAGAUACCAACAAAUGCAUCCUAGGUUUAGAGGAAAAUAUUAUGGAUUAGCCAGUUGGCUCAACCCUUCAUCAGACACAUCGUGGGGGAUGGAACCAAAACCAAUUUCUGGUUUGAUACAUGGCAUCCCCUUGGGUGUCAUUGUAUGAAAGCUUCACAGGCAACCUGCUUUGUAGCUUUGGAUGCAAACCAGUUGCCUCUGUAUCAUAAAUUAUAGUGAAUGGAAAGUGGAGAUGGCCUAAACGAAGGAAAGAAACAACAGAGGUAAGAAGUGAUUUUUCAGUUGUAGCUUUGGAUGCAGCUAGUGUUUAUCAUGUUUGUAGACUCAGGAAUGAAGUGAUUUUUCAGUUGAAACCUAUGACAUAUGACAAACAUCUAAAGUCUAUUAUUGAAGCAGUUUGUUUUGUAGUUAGUAAUUGGUCAGGCUUUCCUAAAACACGUCAAAAUUGGGGGAUUGUACUGGAGCAGGGAGUGGACUGGAAAUGUUUGCCAAUAUAGAAAGAGUGGUGUAGUAGUUAGUUGGUGGAUGAGAGGAGACUGCCAUGUGUACAAACUUUCGUUGCUGAUCAAUAAAAAGUUUUUAUUAUUUGCUCAGAAAAAAUGGUAUAUGAAAGAGGAAGUAGUAUGUAAGCUGAAGAAAACUGGCAAAAUUAAGCAAAGCAACACUAACUGGUUACCCAUUCAACACCAGAUUCCAAUUCUAGCUACUUGGUCCUUGGGAUGUAAGACCGGGAAGCAACUAACAGCUUUAACAAUACAAUUACCAAUUUGCACCCAAAAAAAAAAAGAUCUUACACCAAAUAAAUACAUGAGAAGGCACAUUCUCCCACUCCCCCCACCAACAAAAAAAACCCAGAAAAAGGUCAAAAGUUUCAUAUAUCUCGUUACUAUAUUACUAUAAACAAAAACAAAAGUACGAGUAAUAUUCAUUGUUUUGAAAACUAGACCGGACCAGCCGAUUUGAUCGAUCAGACUGCGAACUGGUCAUAGCUCUCAUUUGAUUCAUAUUUUGGGUUGAUUGGAGUUAAAAACUGGUGAACCGUGCGAACUGGAUUGAACUGGCAGUUUUUUUUUGUAUUUGUCUAUUAAAUUGAAAAAAAAAAGGAAUAAGUUUUCAUUAACCCUAAAGACUAAUUAUUAAAUGCUACAUCCACUUUCUUCUCAUUUUUGCCUCUUAUCAAGUUUGCAUUUCUAUUUUCUAUUUUCCUGACUUCCUCCAAACUCCAAACUUCUUUUUUUUUUAGGUUGCAAUCUUUAAAUCCAAAAACUUGAAUUAAAAUUUAAAUUCACAAAGGGUUUGUUUGGAUAAGAGGUUAUUUGAAAUAUUUAUUGUAACACUUUUUGUAGUGUGAUGUAUGUGAGAUAAAAAGGUGGUUGGAAAUUGUGUGUAUGAUACAUGCAAAACAAAAUUUGAAUUUUUUUUUUGAAAAUCUUGUAAUCCAAACACACCCAAUGUCUAAUUCCCAUAGACGUGAAUUUUGAACAAUUUUCAGAAUAUGUGAUAUUUUUGGGUUGGAUUUAAGAUUAUUUUUUUGGUAGAUACAAUUGAAAUUGAGAUAAAAUUUAUUUGUUUCAACUUAUAAUUUAAAAAAAUUAUUUGUGGAAAUCCAAGUUCUUUGAAAAUAUUAAAAUUUUCAUCAUAUAAAGUUUUUAAUUAGUCCAAUGCAUGUCUUAUUUUGUGCAUAUAUAUAUUUAUAUAAAUUAUUUUUUAAAAAAUUCAUUAAACCAGAAUUGAACCGAUCCGACUGAUUGAAUCUUGACCCGAAACCUUAUUGAUUCAAUUAACGGUCCAAGUUUCAAAACAUUGGUAAUAUUCUAUUCCCAACUUUUGAGCCGUGGUGAAUUCCAAUGAGACGUGGUCAAUUGAACCUGAAUAUAAAGUUUCAGAUGCUUUUGCACUCAAUACACAAAAUACUUUUAAUUGCAUGUGCAGAAUUAUAAAAUGGGUUAAUUGCACUGUGCCCCCUAGAAGUGGAGUUGACUAGCACUUUGCAACCUUGAAUGAAAGGAAUCUACACUUUGGACUGAGAAGAAUACUCUACCUCUGUUGUUUGUUAACCGUGAGUUCCAAUCAGAGAAAGCCACUUCAGCGCUUGGACAACCAUGCCCUUUCAUAUACAAAUUGUCCAAUAGAAUCAACGGAAUGAUUUUUGCCCAUAAUUUCAGAAGUCUAAGCCAUCUCUUAUGUGUGUUGGGAACAAGGGUGAACAAAUUUGGAACGUACAGAAUUCGUAUCCGAUUUCAAAUUCAAUUUGACAAUUUGAAAUCGGGUAUUUGGUAUUUGGUACAAAAGCAGUAUUAUCAAAUUCAUCGACUUCUAAUACAGUAUGAAAUAGGUUAUGAGAUUAUCGAUUUUAAAUUCAAAUUCGGCAAAAUGAAAUAGAUCGAGUAUUGUAUUACAGCAUUUGAAUACCAAAUUAGUUUAUACAAUUAUAUAAUAAAUAGGUAAUUGCUAUACAAUAUUGGUAUAUACUAUUAAUGUAUUAUUAUAUUAUACAGGUAAAUGUUAUUAAUAACAGUUAAUAUAUAGUAUUAUCAUGUACUUAUCAUAAUAAUAAUAAUAUAUAAUGAUGUACAAUAUACUAUUCUAGUAUUUGUUAUAUGACUAUAAAUAUACAAUAAUACAUAAUAUAAGUAUAAUACUUAUCCUUUUAUACAUGACUAGAAUUAGAUAAUGAUUAAUCAGUAUAGGUAUAGGACUAAAUAUUAAACAUAAUUAGUAAUUAGAAUUUAGAUAUUGGUAGUUUGGUACAUUAUUGCAUGUCAACAUAUUAGUGUAUUAGCUUUCACCAUUGAAAGCAAUUAAGUCAUUUGGGAAUUUUCCAAAAAAAGCUAUAUAGAAAAUAAGAAUAAAUGUAAGUUUAAUGCAUUACAUAAUUUGUAAUUUAUAAGUGAAUAAGUGAUAUUGUGUAUACAAGUACACAAUAACAUAAGUUGCAUUUUGAUUUAAACUAAAUUAAAAGUUUGUAACUUAGUCACUUAUCACUAAUUAUUGUAAAUUAUAAGUUUGUAACUAAUAUCACUUAUCGCUAAUCAUCCUAAUUUGUAAGUUUGUAAAUAAUAUUACUUAUCACUAAUCAUUAUAAAUUAUAAUUUUGUAAAUUAUCGCUAAUCAUUGUACAAUCUAAGUUGUAUUUUGGCUCAAAUUAAUCACAUUUUAUUUGUUCCUUAAAUCAUUGAUCAAGGAUUCAAGAUAUAACUAGGAAUAGGUGAUCAAAUGAAUACUAACAAAUUUUCCAAAUGGUUAGAACAAGACUAAUGUGUUAAAUUAUGAAUAAUUUUGGAUAUCUAAUUAGGAAUAAAAAUUUUACUAUUGAGGAGCAUAAUGAAUGUACAAUAAUUUAGAGCCUCAGAUCUCAAAUUAAAAAUUAAAAAAAUCACUCAUGUAGUCCAAAAGUGUCAGAUACUCGGUUUGAUAGUCCCACUCCCAAAUCACAAUUCCUAAAUCAAUCUGAAAAAAAUACCCUAGUUGCAACCUAAGCCUUCUUUUUCUCCUCCUCUCUACCUUCAGCCACUUCUUCUUCUCCUAAUCUCCUCUCCACCUCACUCCACUUUAGUUCUCACUCCACCUUAGCCGACCUUACUCCGCCGCUGAAUCAUUGUUAACCUUCAUUCUUACUCCAUCUCUUCGCCGCUGCCAAAGUGCCAUUUGCUACUCAUCUCUGGGUUUAUUGCCUUGCUGGUUCACUUAGGUAGUUUCAUAUAUCCCUAAACUAUCCCUUUAAUGUAUGACUCUUGCUUAAUUGCUUUAAAUCAGUGCUAUUAAGGGUUGGAAUAAUAAUGUAAAUUAGUUCAUUUUAUUUGCCUAUUUAGCUCAACAGUUUUGAUAUCUUCAUCUUGUUGAGUUUUAGGGAUACUACGCAGCGGAAAAAUAAAAAAUUUUCCCUAAAACCAUCCAGGAAUCACCCUAGAUUUUACGUAUGAUGUACUAGAAGUAGGGUUUUAGGAUUACCUUAAUCCAAGCAGCGUCUCCCUGCUGCGUUGUUUGAGGAUGGUCAGCCCUUAAGCAGUCCAGUUGUCCUGCCUCUACUGAUAUCCACGCUAGAGCAACCCUGGAUCGUCUCACGAACUAUGUAUUGAAGAGAAAAAGGUGCUAGCCUUCUUACUCUCUUCGAACGUAUAUUUUUUCUCUCUAUAGUAUGUGACGCUCACACUUUGUAUCUGUAUAUCAGCUAACCCCCAAAAAAACCAUUGGAGAAAGAGAGAGAUAUAUGAUAAGCUAGAAUGAUUAGUCUUCUUGUCUGAUUCAAAAUCAAAACCGUAAGACUUUUCAUCACACCAGACUCUAUCUAUCAUUAUCUGAUAGGUAAGAGAUAACCAUUUACUCUUAUCUGCUCAAAAAGGCCUGGGAUUAAUUUUCCUUUAAAAUUAAACCCCGAUAAUUUACAUAGUUUUAAUCCAGGAUUAAAUCUCUAUUGCGUGUGACCCAAUAGGUCCCGAAUGUAUUGGUAAUAAUUAUGGUUUAAUAAUUAGAUAAAAUAAACAACUUUAUUUUAUCAUAACUUAUAAUAAAUAAUUAAUCCAUAAUUAUAAAUCACGAGCGGUGUCUAGCAACACAUCGCGAUUGCCCAAUUAUUCGGAAUUAGUCAAGGGAAUUUGACCUAACCUUUCCGUGAAAAAUUACCGUGUAAUUAUUAUCCUUUCACCAAAGAUAUCCAAUUAGUCAGGAAUAAGGAAUAAGUGCCAAUUCCCUGAUGACUAAUUAAAUUUUCUAGUUCCCGAAAUUUACCCUUAAUUAGGUUAAAUUGAAGACAUUCUUCAAUUUACCUAAUAGUCGACUUUAGGGUUAAUUUCUCACUUGUGGCCAUCCAGAUAUCAACUCCUUCUAUUGGAGUGGUAAAUCCUAUCUCAAUCACCCAUUUUCUUUACAUGCUUCACACUACAUCCAACUUCUACACUUUAAGGCACUCACGAAGAGUAACAAGUAAUUAGAGUCAAAAUGUAGCGAUUCACACUCAAGAUACUAUGGUGAUCUCAAGUCGUAGGAUCACUUACACAAUUUUUCACUAGAGAUACACCAUUGGCACUAGAUAGAUAUCCUAACAGGAUCUCUAAAUGGAUCAAUCCAAUGCAUUUGUACUUUCCAAAUCAUCUACACAUUAGCCUAGGUAUCAUCAUACCAUAGUUGAUGAGAACAACCACUAAUUACAUUAAUUAGAGACUAACUGUGUACUAGUUUUACCGUACUAAAGAUGUCCUAUUUCAUUAGUACUAUAACUAGGGAAUUUUAAGAAUAUUACUAUAAAUGCGAUUGAUAUCACAUAGUCAUCAACUCUUGUGACUACCAUCCCAUUAGUAAACAUUCUAAGGACUUUAUCAGUUAUAUCUAAUAUUUAACAGAUAAAUAAGAAGUUAUUAAAAUACAAAACAUAUAAUUUAGGAAUGUAUAAAAUAAAACCAAAUACAUUGUUUUAGGGCAUACAUUCCAACAAUCUCCCACUUGCACUAAAACACAUUAUCCAUGUUUUUCAUCCCAUAAGAUAAUACAUGACUAUCAUGCUUCUUUUGAGGAAGAACUUUAGUAAGAGGAUCAGCUAUGUUAUCCUCUGUGGAGACUCUCUCUAUCUUUACAUCAUUCCUAGCAACGAUUUCUCUAAUCAAGUGAAAUCUCCUAAGCACAUGUUUGGAUCGCUGAUGAGACCUAGGUUCCUUGGCUUGAGCUAUAGCUCCAUUGUUAUCAUAGUACAAAGUGACCGGAUCAACAAUGGUUGGAACCACACCAAGUUCAGUUACAAACUUUCUGAUCCAAAUUGCUUCCUUAGCUGCUUCCGCGGCCGCAAUGUACUCAGCCUCUGUUGUAGAAUCUGCUGUGGUGUCUUGUUUGGAACUCUUCCAACAGACAGCACCUCCAUUAAGAGUAAAAAUGAAGCCUGACUGUGAUUUACAAUCAUCCUUAUCUGAUUGAAAACUCGCAUCAGUAUAGCCUUUGAGCUCUAACUCACCCUUUCCAUAUAUUAAGAACAAAUCUUUGGUCCUUCUUAAGUACUUAAGAAUGUUCUUAACGGCUAUCCAAUGACCCUCACCUGGAUUAGCUUGAAAUCUGCUUGUGACACUCAGAGCAUAGGAGACAUCAGGUCUUGUACAUAACAUAGCAUACAUAAUUGAUCCAAUUGCUGAAGCAUAUGGAACAUUGUGCAUCUUAUCAGUCUCAACUUGUGUCUUUGGACACAUGUUUUUAUAAAGGCUUAUACCAUGAGUCAUAGGUAAAUUACCCCUCUUAGACUGAUCCAUGCUAAACCUUUUUAGCACUUUCUCUAUGUAUGUAGAUUGUGAAAGACCCAGUAGCCUUUUAGAUCUAUCCCUAUAGAUCUUAAUGCCUAAUAUAUAGGCCACUUCUCCUAAAUCUUUCAUGGAAAAGUUCUUCGACAACCAACCCUUUACCGAUUGUAACAUCGGUAUAUUGUUUCCCAUUAUUAAUAUGUUAUCUACAUAUAAAAUAAGGAAAACAAUCGAACUCCCACUAACUUUCUUAUACACACAAGGUUCAUCCGGAUUCUUGAGAAAACCAAACUCUUUGAUCGUCUCAUUGAAUCGGAUGUUCCAACUCCUAGAUGCUUGCUUAAGUCCAUAAAUAGACUUUUGUAACUUACAUAUUUGACUAAGAUUUGUAGAUGUAAAACCUUCAGGUUGUGUCAUAUACACAUCCUCAUGCAAUGUCCCGUUAAGGAACGCGGUCUUUACAUCCAUCUGCCAAAUCUCAUAGUCAUGAUAUGCUGCUAUGGCAAGCAAUAUCCGAAUGGAUUUAAGCAUAGCUACUGGUGAGAAAGUUUCAUCGUAAUCGAUUCCCUCUUUCUGCUUGUAGCCUUUGGCUACCAGUCUAGCUUUAUAGGUAACCACAUUACCAUCCAUGUCAGUCUUCUUCUUGAAGAUCCAUUUACACCCUACAGGUUUUAUCCCUUCAGGUGGAUCAACUAAGGUCCACACCUUAUUGUCAUACAUGGAAUUUAUUUCGGAAUUCAUGGCUUCUAACCAUUUAGAGGAGUUUGGAUUACUUAUUGCCUCUUGGUAGGUAGUAGGUUCGUCAUCUUGAAUGACUAGAACACCAUUGCUAUGGCUCACAAGAAAUUGGUAUCUCUUGGGAGUUGAGCGUGUUCUUACUGACCUACGAAGCCCUUGUGUAUUAACAGCUUCAGUAUCUGCCCCAUCAUUAUGUGGUUGAAGCUGUUCUUCAUUAGAUCGUUCAAUGUUUGUUGGAUGAUCCUGAAUUUCUUCAAGAUCUAUUCUGCUCCCACUGCUUCUUUCUAGAAUGUAUUCUUUCUCUAGAAAAAUAGCAUGUUUUUGAGACAAACACUUUUUGCUCAAUUGGAUUGUAGAAAUAGUAUCCUAUAGACUCUCUUGGAUACCCUACAAACAAACAUUUGUCAGAUCUAGGUUCAAGCUUGUCUGACUCUGCCCUCUUCACAUAAGUUGGGCAGCCCCAAACCUUCAUAUAAGACAGAUUUGGUUUCUUUCCUUUCCAUAUCUCAUAUGGUGUGGAGUCGACAACUUUAGUGGGUACUCUAUUAAGAGUAUAAGAGGCUGCAUCUAAUGCAAAUCCCCAAAACGAUUUUGGGGCACUUGAGUGGCUCAUCAUAGAACGAACCAUAUCCAAUAAGGUUCGGUUUCUCCUUUCAGAUACACCAUUUAACUGUGGUGUACCUGGAGGAGUCCAUUGUGGAACUAUUCCAUUAUCCUUUAAAUAAACUCCAAACUCGUCGUUUAAGUAUUCUCCACCACGAUUAGAUCGUAGUAUCUUAAUACUUUUAUUGGUUUGUUUUUCUACUUCAUUCUUGAAUUCCUUAAACUUUUCAAAGGAUUCAGAUUUGUAUUUCAUUAAAUACACGUAACCAUAUCUCGAAUGGUCAUCUGUGAAGGUGAUGAAGUAUGAAAAACCUCCUCUAGCAGUGAUCGACAUUGGGCCGCAUACAUCAGUAUGUACUAGCCCAAGUAAAUCACUGGCUCGUUCCCCUUUUCCCGUGAAGGGCAAUUUGGUCAUUUUGCCUAGUAAACAAGCUUCACACGUAUCAUAUGAUUCAUAAUCAAAUGAAUCCAAGUAUCCAUGUUGGUAUAACUUGGAGAUGCGUUUUUCAUUUACAUGACCAAGCCUAUAGUGCCAGAGGUAGGUUUUAUUUAGUUUAUAUGUUCUCAUUCUUUUUUCACUCACAUUGAGAAUUUGAUGAUCAAGAUCUAGAAUAUAUAAACCGUUAUUCCAACUUCCAGAACCAUAAAACACACCAUUUUUAGAAAAAGAACAACAUUUAUUCUCCUGGGUUAUCCGAAACCCAUUUAAAUCCAAACAGGAAAUAGAAAUGAUGUUUGUAGUAAGUGCUGGAACACAAUAACAAUUUAAUAAUUCUAAAAUCAAUCCACUGGGUAAAGUGAUAUAAUAAAUCCCUACAGCUAAAGCAACAACUUUUGCUCCAUUGCCCACACGUAGGGUGACUUCUCCUUUUCCCAGCUUUCUACUGUCCCUUAGACCCUGCAUAGAUGUGCAAAUGUGAGAACCACAUCCGGUAUUUAAUACCCAAGAGUCUGAUUUGGAAGUAGACACAUUAAUCUCAAUCAUAUAUGCACCUGAUGAUGAAGCUUCAGCAAGCUUCUUUUGCUUCAGGCUCUCCAAGUAUGACUUGCAGUUCCUUUUCCAAUGUCCAGUUUGAUUACAAUGGAAGCAGGUUGCUUUGGACUGGUCCGCCUUUGCCUUUUUGGGCUUUUGGGUGGGCUUGUUUUUGGAUUUCUUAAAUCCCUUUUCUUGCCUCUUUCUCUUCUUAGAGGAAGUAACGACAAGCACACCAGUAGAGCCUUUUCCCUUUUUGAUUUCUUUCUCAGCAGUUUUCAGCACAUUCAACAAUUGAGGCAAAGUGUGCUGCAGAUUAUUCAUCUGAUAGUUCAUAACAAACUGUGAGAAAGAAUCUGGCAGAGAUUGGAGCACUAAAUCAACAUUCAGCUCCUGAUCCAUCUUAAAGCCUAAUUCGGCCAGUUUUUCAAUUAGCCCAAUUAUUUUUAAGACAUGCGGAGCAACAGGUGCUCCCUCUGCCAUCUUGCACCUGAACAAUUCUUUAGAGGUAUCAUAUCUAACCGUCCUUGAUUGUUGUUCAAACAACUCUCUCAGGUGUUGUACAAUAUCAUACGCCCCCAUGUUCAUGUGCUGCUGCUGAAGCUGAGGAGUCAUGGAAGCUAUCAUGAUACAUGAAGCUUCCCUAUUGUCAUUCUUAUGUUUCUUAUAAGCAUUUCUAACAGCAGCAGGUGCAGUAGGUUCAGGCUCUUGAGGCAUUGGACCAUCAAGUACAUACUCAAUUUUCUCAUGAGUGAGAACGAUAAGGACAUUACGAUGCCAAUCAAAAAAGUUCGUGUCGUUGAGUUUGCAAUCAGUAAGAAUAGUACGAAGGCUCAAAUUGUUACUCAUUCUACAACAAAAUGAAAGAUAGAAUUUGUUAGAAAAAUGUUUUGUUUAAUAAAAUCAUAAAAAACUUCAAAAUUAUGAUUUUAUUUCCACUAUUUUUUCCAAAUCAAUUACCCUCUAAAAUUGAAUCGGGAAUUUCUAAAAUUCCAUAGUGGCUAGGAUCCUAUCUUAAUUUAUUUCGACCUUGAGUGUGUCCCAACAAAUCGAAAAUAAUUAUGAAAGGUAGGUACUUUUACCAAUUACAACUUAUUGUAAUUCCUAGAUCAGUUAGGUGUCAACUCUUGACUUUAAAUCUCUGUGGAUCAACCCAACACUUGCCUCUAAAAUUAAUGAUUUUGAGUGAAUCCCAACAAAUCAUAAUUUUAGCUAAAUCAAACCCAUCAUUCUUGAGAACAUUUCUCAUAGCAAAAACACGUAGUAAGUAAGGUAGCCUUGGGUGAAUCCCAACAAGCUAGCACUUAAUAACUACUCUAGUUUUAUACUAUAAUGAUGGAAGGCAUUUUAUUGAUUUAAUAUUAUAGUUGAGGGAUUUGUCUCUUUUUCCAAAAAUAUUUUAUAAUUAAAAUUUUUUUGAAAAAAUUGCUCAUUUGGUCUCAUCAAUAAACAUGCAUAUAACCAUAUCAAACUUAUAAACAUGAAUUUAAAUCGUGGAUGGUUGUGGAUAUUCCUAAACUAAUUUCCCCAGCCAUUAGGAAAAUUAGCAUGAGACUAAAAUCUUUAAUACCGAGACGAACCCCUUCGUUGUAGUAUGCCUCCUUUCUCCUUUUCAAAGUAACAAUUUCUAUAUAAAUAAUAUAAAUUCCUAUCAUCUAUUCCUAUCUAUUGUACAUUACAAAUAGUAUAGAAGAAACCCCGAGUUACAUUCGGGGGGAAUUUAAAUGAGAAAAGAAAUUACAAUUAGAAAAUAAGAAAGGCAGGACACGCAGGCCCUAUUUUAAAAAUUAAUUACAACCAUUCAAACCUAGAAUGAUUGUAACCUUCCAAAAUACCACAAUCAUAUUGCGUACUAUAUCCACAACCAUCCACCAUGCAUUUUCACAAUUUAAACAACUUUAAAUAAAAGAAAAGCAUGUAAAAUAAGCAAUCUCAAUUCAUGGAUUAAUUGAAUUUAACUCCUAAGGUCCCAAACAAAAUUUUGGGUCCAUGCAUAUGCGAGAAUAAUUGGUAAAAUUAAAUUUUAUCAGGUCAACUUUAUCCUCAACUAAUUUGAGGAAAGAAUGGGAAAAUAAUUCAAAUUAGUUCUAAAUUAAUUCCCAACCUAAUAAUAUAUCAAAUCAAUGAUUCCAUAACACAUUUUAACAAUUAAAAUGGGAUUUAAUUCAGAAGAUUGCCAAAAGUUCAAAACUUCAAGUUUUAGGAAAAAUUUUUUUUUUUUUUCUAAACCAUUCUUGCAAUCGUUUUCUAUCAUCACCGGCAACUCCCACUGGACACCACCACUUCAGUCACCACCGCUGAGGUCUCCACUGACCAUCAAUGGAAGCAACUCCCAGCGGCAGCCACCAGGGAGUUCACUGGAAACAACCACUCGAUUGCAACAUCAAGCUGCAAAGUUUUCCUGAGCCUGAUUGCUGCUGCUCCUCGUUGUCGCGCCUGUUUGCUGGAUAGCGGAGCUACCACCGCAACAGCCACCACCACUGGAGUCUCCACUGACCACCAGUGGCAGCGGCUCCUGGUAGCAGCCACCGCAGGUCAUGGGCAGCAACCGUGAGGAGGCUGCUGCGCCCUUGCUGAUGCCUGCAGCAUUUUUGCUGCGUUUUUGUCCCAGAGAGCUCAUAGCUCUUCUACCCAGCAACCACCACCAGGCGUACAACCUCCCACUGCCACCAAGGAAAACCACCAUGGCCUCACAUGGCAGCAGCAGCUGGCGGCAGCCCUUGCAGCCGCAGCAUCGCAGCAACCGCAGGUUUGCAAACGCAAACUUGCUAUGUCGGUUUUUUUUUUUUUUGGUCCAAUGAUCAUCCUGCAACUUUUGCAAAUGAUCAACUAUGACCAUGGGUGACCCAAAUCCACGAAAGAAGGGAAAAAGGAAAAAAACCAGGUGCUUGUGAAAAACUUGCGACUGCGGCCGCGGCUUUCAAAAGCUUUCAAAAACCAGGUUUUCAAAAGCUUUCAUGAAAACCCUUUUUUUUUUUCUUGAAAAACGAAAGUUAAUUUUCCCAUAAUUUCGCAUAUUAAUUAAAUCCAAUCAGUAGUAUUAAUCCAUGAAUCCAAAAUUGCCUAAAAUCAUACGUAAAAUUCUUAGAGAUGGCUCUGAUACCACUGUUGGGUUUUAGGGAUACUACGCAGCGGAAAAAUAAAAUAUUUUCCCUAAAACCAUCCAGGAAUCACCCUAGAUUUUACGUAUGAUGUACUAGAAGUAGGGUUUUAGGAUUACCUUAAUCUAAGUAGCGUCUCCCUGCAGCGUUGUUUGAGGAUGGUCAGCCCUUAAGCAGUCCAGUUGUCCUGCCUCUACUGAUAUCCACGCUAGAGCAACCCUGGAUCGUCUCACUGUAAGGACCCGCAAAUUUCUUACAUUUUUUUUCUUUUCUUCAAAAAAGCCUUUUAUUUGAAAAUUAUUAUUUAUUAAAGCCCUACUACCCAAAUGUUCCACAAUAAGUGCAUAUGAACCUAGAAAGUAGGGUUUUACUCUUCGUUUCCAAGAUUGGGGCAAAUUAGGGUUUUCGCGAUUUUUCGCCGAAUGAAAUUUCGGUAUGGAGCAAGGAUCAAAUUUGGUGAUUAAAAGUGAAUUUUAAGUGAGAAAUAAUAUGUGAUUAGGAGCAAUGAGAUAAGGUUGGUGAAUAGGAAGUAAAAACCCUAGUACGUGUGUUUUUAAGAAAAACGGCGCGAACCGGCGGGUCCCGCGCACUACCGGUUGAACACACCACUUGAUCACCAUUUUCUUACCAUACAAGCUCAUUAAUAUUUGAGCAAAAUAUCUCCAAAAUUCCAGCUAAGCUUGACCGAAAUUAGAGGCUGAAAACAUGAAAGUUGUAGAGAAUGGUAUUUUAUAGGUUCCUACUAAAUUUCAGCUCAAUCGGAGCAACGUAGCCCGUGAAAAGACCAAAAUACCCUCACUAUUUUAGGAAAUUUCCAGUAUUCCGUUUUUGUCAAUUCAUCCAGUUUAUCAUGUUUGUUCACUAGGAUCCAUGCUGAUUUAGCUUUUUGAAAAAACAUGAAAGUUUUAGUAUUCUGUCUUAGAUUUUAAAUGCCACCAAGAACACCUUAAUUGGACCUUGGUAACCUGAGUUAUGACCAUUCCAGUGCAGUGCGGUUGAUUAGCCGACUAGUUGGAUUUUGGUUCUGUAAAUUGGGGAAUUUGACUAGGUUACAUUGGAAACUGGACUAAGUGAUUUUCAUGAACAUUGUAGCCCUGUGUCUUAGCUUCGUAAUGGUAUAGGUUACGCCUCAAUCCGAUAAGCGUAGCCUCGGAUGUGUUAUUUUCGCAACCACACGUCAAAUCUGUCUUUUGCUAGAUUGUAUUUCCGCACUUGUUACGACUUUGAUACUUAUUCUUAUGAUGUUAUGAGCCUAUGGAACGGCUAUUGACUUGAAUUUAUGAUAUAUAUGACUUUGGGAUUGGCUGAGGAAAAAUAAUGAAGCCUAAAUGGCUGGAAAAUUAGGUAAACACAAAGGGCGUGCUGCCCAAAUUUUCGCUCGAGGGCUAGGUUUCUAUUUGAACUUGUAUACUUUUGUUUGGCCAAUACCAUGACCGGCUUUCCAUUUUAAAACAUGAUUUUUCAUCCUUGGGUUCAAACAACCCUCUUCUUACUUGAAAGUCAUCUUUACACGUUUUACUCCUAAUUAGUCGGGUUUCUUUGUUUCUCUUAAAUGUUUUGCUCGAUAAACUGAAAUAUGUUCUCUUGUUCAACCUUAGGUUUCAUUGGUGAUUAAGGGUAAUAUCCGGAAGGAUAUUUUGCACGUUAUUUUGCAUAACUAGGUGAGUGUUCCUUAUUUGACUUUAUGGCUUGUUGUUAUCGUUUGCUAAUGUGUUAAGUGCUUUUAAUGAUUUCCAAAACGAGCUUUCUAGGCGAGUGUGUACUUUAUCGCACUCGACCUAAAUAACUGUGCAAUUUUCAAGGAUUUAAUGAUUAAAAUGUUACUUGCGCAUGAAUGUAAGCCUUUUGGGCUGAACUGGCCAUUGCCCCUUGUUACCAGUCGUCUCGAGCCAGAAGCGGACUCGGUCGGGCGAUUAGGAACUUGGGUGAACGUUUGGUAUACUCGAGUAUUACCCUGUAGGUUGGUGGAGACUGGCCAACGGCCAGGACGGGGGUGAAUGAAUGAAUGAACGAACGAACAAACGAACGAGGGUUUAUUGAUAAACGAAAAAUGCAUUUUCAAAUGAUUGGAGGAAUAAGGGGGAAAUGACAGGAGAACGAAUGAACGAACGAACGAAUUGCUCCUUGUGAGCCGUAUCCUUUUAAUGAAUGUUGCUAUCACUUUCCAUUGUAAAUGUUUCUUGAAUUAUUGAUACUCCAUGUUUAAUGUAUUGAAUUGAUUGUUUGAUUAUCUGUUCGAAACCUCACUGAGCUUUUAGCUCACCCCUUUAGUUUUGUUUUCCUUAACAGGGGACGGCGAGCAGGAUGAGAGCAUAGACUAGCCUAGUCUAGGUCUUUUGUUUCUUUUGUAAUGGUUCUCGCCCUAGUGCUUGGCACGGGCUAGUUGUAUGGUGAAGUGAGAACCUUUGUACAUUUGAUGGCUGUACUUCCUUUUGAGAUAGCAAUGUAUAUAAGUUUCGCUUUUGGAUUGCUGCCCUAUUUAUUCUUGUGAUUUAUUCUGAUUUUAAUUGAGGACUGUAGUGAAUGACUGAGUCCCGGCGAGAGUUGGGCAGGCGACCCGCCGAACCCUGGGGUACGCCCUAGGGGGAGGUGGGAUCGUCACUGGUGGUAUCAGAGCCAUAUGCCGACAGUUGGGACUUUAAGUCCUUCGUCUGGAAAAGCCCCGAGCCUCUCGUUCAUGAAGAGUCACGAAGCGAAACUCUCCGUAGGGGAUGCCCGCGUGCGGGUGGCAAGCUGAUAGGUACCCCGUGAUGUGACCCUGAGAACUGUCACAGGUGGUAUCAGAGCUUAGGCUUUAGAUCUCUGUAGUGUAUCCUAGGCUUGAAAUUUAGGAUGCCGGACUGUGGGAUUCGAUUUGACUUGAAAGUUAAACGAUUGAGGGAUAAAACCUAUAGCUGCUUCGCGUGGUUUCUGCGCGGAGUGACCCUGGACUAAGUGGUGAAUAAGUAUGAGGGACUAAGUGAAGCUAUGAAUUGUGAAUGUUAUAGACCUUAAAUCUUUCUUAUGGUAUCUGAGGACUAUAGAAAGGUACGUCAGGUAGGAAUUUCUAUUGUAGAUGGUUUACUCCUGGGACUGUAGCUCGAGAUGUGAACUAUCUUAUUUCGGAUUCUCGUGCCUGAGUACUCUAUCGUUGAGGUGCUGCUAAAUACUUGAGACUUGCAUUUUGGGAACAUGAACGGGUUUUGUCUGGCUAGAAUAAGUAUAAGAGAUCAACGGACAUCGAGUCGGAUAGAAAGUGACGUGAGAAAUCGGACGGGGUUAUUCUAGUUGGGUGUGGGACGAUAUACCCCUUUUCUUUUGAUUCGCCCGUAUAUUGUCACUACAUGCCGUCAGUUGUGUACUUGUGUAUUGAAUAUCCACUUGACUUGAGACGUAUUUGUGUAUUUGAUUAUCUGUUUCUUUGAUAUGUUUAUGUGGUGUGUUAUGUGGGUAUAUGUUUAUUUGAGUAUUUGGUGCCCUCAAUUUUAGUUACUUUAGUCACCUUAUCGUGUUUAUUUACUAAAUUACCUUUCGGGGAAAAAGAAAAGAGAGGGAAAACAUAUAUAUGGACGGGAGACGUAGCCGUGGACGUGGACGUGGCCGUGGGAAUGAACGAGCUCAAGAGCCAAGAGAGGAAAGAGAAACAACAGCUGCACAAGAGCAAGGAACGAGGGUUGAAGCCGAAAACCAAAUGGCAACGGUAAUGCAACAAAUGACAGAUAUCUUGGCAAGACUGGUGGAUCAACAAGGCCAAAUGGCCGUGAAUCAACCCCGGAACCCUGAAAUCGGAGAAGAUAAGGCUCUUGAGAGGUUUCAGAAGUUUACUCCUCCGAAAUUCCUUGGAGGAUCUGAUCCGGAUAUAGCCGAACAAUGGUUAAAGGCCAUGAUGAAUAUUUUCACCGUCUUGAACUACACCGAGCAAAGACAAGUAAACUUUGCGGUGUUCCAAUUUGAAGGAUCGGCCCGAGCGUGGUGGAACGUUAUUAAAGCAAAAUGGGAAAGAGAACAGACCGUAUGGACAUGGACGAAUUUCAUAAGGGAAUUUAACGAGAAAUACCUCCCUUCUUUAGUUCAAGAGAGGAGAGAGGAAGAGUUUAUUGGACUACGCCAAGGAACGCUAAGUGUGGCCAAAUAUGAAACGAAAUUUACGAAACUAUCCAAGUUUGCUUCUGAAUUGGUGGCCACAGAGCGGCGAAGAGUAAGACGGUUUAUACAGGGAUUAAAUUUGGAACUCCAAGAAGCAUUAGCGGCAGUACAAGUGAAUACGUUUACAGAGGCCCUUGAGAAAGCUCAAAGAAUCGAGACUACAAAGACACAGAUAAAAGCUUUCCAGACCCAGAAAAGGAGUGCAUCGAGUAGUGUAGUGGAGGAAUUAAGUGAAGCGAGAGUCCCUUCCAAAGUGCAAAAGGUGAACUUUUUGUCCCACCCACCAUGGACAUUAGGGGCGAUAGGUGAAGGAUCUACAAAAGAAAGCCAAAUCAGAUUUGGAAAAAGUUUUCAAGAAAGCCAAAAGAUGGCUUCUCACGUGGUCUGUGGGUACUGUGGAAAGCAAAUCAUGUCGAAAGCAAUUGUUGGAGAAAGGGGCGGAAAUGUUUAAUCUGCGGAAGUGGCGAUCAUCAAGUUAGCAACUGUCCGAGGAGACAGUCACGUGAAAGCAAUAUUCUGCAACUGGAUGGAGCUAAAUCACAAGUGAAUGAAGGAGGGAAACAAACUAGCGGACCGGCAAGGGUUUAUGCUUUAGACAACCGACAAGUUCCGGACUCGUCUGAGGCAACUGAAGGUAAAAUUUCGAGGACGAAAUUUUUUUAAGGGGGAGAGAGUGUAAGGACCCGCAAAUUUCUUACAUUUUUUUUUCCUUUUCUUCAAAAAUGCCUUUUAUUUGAAAAUUAUUAUUUAUUAAAGCCCUACUACCCAAAUGUUCCACAAUAAGUGCAUAUGAACCUAGAAAGUAGGGUUUUACUCUUCAUUUCCAAGAUUGGGGCAAAUUAGGGUUUUCGCAAUUUUUCGCCGGAUGAAAUUUCGGUAUGGAGCAAGGAUCAAAUUUGGUGAUUAAAAGUGAAUUUUAAGUGAGAAAUAAUAUGUGAUUAGGAGUAAUGAGAUAAGGUUGGUGAAUAGGAAGUAAAAACCCUAGUACGUGUGUUUUUAAGAAAAACGGCGCGAACCGGCGGGUCCCGCGCACUACCGGUUGAACACACCACUUGAUCACCAUUUUCUUACCAUACAAGCUCAUUAAUAUUUGAGCAAAAUAUCUCCUAAAUUCCAGCUAAGCUUGACCGAAAUUAGAGGCUGAAAAUACAAGAAAAGAAAAGGAAAUUUUACUUGGUAAGGGUUGUGACAAGUGUCACACCAUUAGAGGCUAUUGACCAAGACAUUGUCCAAUCUUCUUAUCCCCGAAAUUGCACAAUUCUUCCUCAUUAUUUCUGCUGAAGAGCCGAGAGAGAGAUAGAGCAAAAACAAGAGAAAAGCUUCUCCAUUUCUUCUUGAAUCAAGUCACAAAGUGAGGAAACAAAGAAACUAAACCGAUUAAAGGCGCCCUUGAGUGUUUAUUGAGUGAGCUAUUGGUGAAAUUUUGAAGGGGAAGGCUAGGGUUGCUCUUGGUAGACACUAAGCAAGGUAAGGAUGAUGAUUUCCCCAAUUUUUACUCUUAAUCUUGUUUAAAUUAGCUUAGCAUCUCAAGAUUGUGAUGAAUUACGGUUGUUAUCAUGUUUUGGGUAAUUUUUCCUUUUGUUACAUGAGUUAGGGUUUAAUAAAUUUCUGCCUAAACUUGAUGUAUGAUGAAUAUAUGUUGUAUCCAAGGUUAUAUAGGGGGUUUUGGUAGCAAGUGGAGUAAGAAAUUAAGAAAGUUAUCAUUGAAACCAAAAGAUUUCAGAUUUCUGGAAAAUUGUCACUAGGUUCUGCCCGUUUUUAUUGCCCUAUGUUAGAGGCCGAAUUGGGCUUGGAAUAAAACAUGAAAGUUGUAGAGAAUGGUAUUUUAUAGGUGCCUACAAAAUUUCAGCUCAAUCGGAGCAACGUAGCCCGUGAAAAGACCAAAAUACCCUCACUGUUUUAGGAAAUUUCCAGUAUUCCGUUUUCGUCAGUUCAUCCAGUUUAUCAUGUUUGUUCACUAGGAUCCAUGCUGAUUUAGCUUUUUGAACAAAACAUGAAAGUUUUAGUAUUCUGUCUUAGCUUUUAAAUGCCACCAAGAACACCUUAAUUGGACCUUGGUAACCUGAGUUAUGACCAUUCCAGUGCAGUGCGGUUGAUUAGCCGACUAGUUGGAUUUUGGUUCUGUAAAUUGGGGAAUUUGACUAGGUUACAUUGGAAACUGGACUAAGUGAUCUUCAUGAACAUUGUAGCCCUGUGUCUUAGCUUCGUAAUGGUAUAGGUUGCACCUCAAUCCGAUAAGCGUAGCCUCGGAUGUGUUAUUUUCGCAACCACACGUCAAAUCUGUCUUUUGCUAGAUUGUAUUUCCGCACUUGUUACGACUUUGAUACUUAUUCUUAUGAUGUUAUGAGCCUAUGGAACGGCUAUUGACUUGAAUUUAUGAUAUAUAUGACUUUGGGAUUGGCUGAGGAAAAAUAAUGAAGCCUAAAUGGCUGGAAAAUUAGGUAAACACAAAGGGCGUGCUGCCCAAAUUUUCGCUCGAGGGCUAGGUUUCUAUUUGAACUUGUAUACUUUUGUUUGGCCAAUACCAUGACCGGCUUUCCAUUUUAAAACAUGAUUUUUCAUCCUUGGAUUCAAACAACCCUUUUCUUACUUGAAAGUCAUCUUUACACGUUUUACUCCUAAUUAGUCGGGUUUCUUUGUUUCCCUUAAAUGUUUUGCUCGAUAAACUGAAAUAUGUUCUCUUGUUCAACCUUAGGUUUCAUUGGUGACUAAGGGUAAUAUCCGGAAGGAUAUUUUGCACGUUAUUUUGCAUAACUAGGUGAGUGUUCCUUAUUUGACUUUAUGGCUUGUUGUUAUCGUUUGCUAAUGUGUUAAGUGCUUUUAAUGAUUUCCAAAACGAGCUUUCUAGGCGAGUGUGUACUUUAUCGCACUCGACCUAAAUAACUGUGCAAUUUUCAAGGAUUUAAUGAUUAAAAUGUUACUUGCGCAUGAAUGUAAGCCUUUUGGGCUGAACUGGCCAUUGCCCCUUGUUACCAGUCGUCUCGAGCCAGAAGCGGACUCGGUCGGGCGAUUAGGAACUUGGGUGAACGUUUGGUAUACUCGAGUAUUACCCUGUAGGUUGGUGGAGACUGGCCAACGGCCAGGACGGGGGUGAAUGAAUGAAUGAACGAACGAACAAACGAACGAGGGUUUAUUGAUAAACGAAAAAUGCAUUUUCAAAUGAUUGGAGGAAUAAGGGGGAAAUGACAGGAGAACGAAUGAACGAACGAACGAAUUGCUCCUUGUGAGCCGUAUCCUUUUAAUGAAUGUUGCUAUCACUUUCCAUUGUAAAUGUUUCUUGAAUUAUUGAUACUCCAUGUUUAAUGUAUUGAAUUGAUUGUUUGAUUAUCUGUUCGAAACCUCACUGAGCUUUUAGCUCACCCCUUUAGUUUUGUUUUCCUUAACAGGGGACGGCGAGCAGGAUGAGAGCAUAGACUAGCCUAGUCUAGGUCUUUUGUUUCUUUUGUAAUGGUUCUCGCCCUAGUGCUUGGCACGGGCUAGUUGUAUGGUGAAGUGAGAACCUUUGUACAUUUGAUGGCUGUACUUCCUUUUGAGAUAGCAAUGUAUAUAAGUUUCGCUUUUGGAUUGCUGCCCUAUUUAUUCUUGUGAUUUAUUCUGAUUUUAAUUGAGGACUGUAGUGAAUGACUGAGUCCCGGCGAGAGUUGGGCAGGCGACCCGCCGAACCCUGGGGUACGCCCUAGGGGGAGGUGGGAUCGUCACUGGUGGUAUCAGAGCCAUAUGCCGACAGUUGGGACUUUAAGUCCUUCGUCUGGAAAAGCCCCGAGCCUCUCGUUCAUGAAGAGUCACGAAGCGAAACUCUCCGUAGGGGAUGCCCGCGUGCGGGUGGCAAGCUGAUAGGUACCCCGUGAUGUGACCCUGAGAACUGUCACAGGUGGUAUCAGAGCUUAGGCUUUAGAUCUCUGUAGUGUAUCCUAGGCUUGAAAUUUAGGAUGCCGGACUGUGGGAUUCGAUUUGACUUGAAAGUUAAACGAUUGAGGGAUAAAACCUAUAGCUGCUUCGCGUGGUUUCUGCGCGGAGUGACCCUGGACUAAGUGGUGAAUAAGUAUGAGGGACUAAGUGAAGCUAUGAAUUGUGAAUGUUAUAGACCUUAAAUCUUUCUUAUGGUAUCUGAGGACUAUAGAAAGGUACGUCAGGUAGGAAUUUCUAUUGUAGAUGGUUUACUCCUGGGACUGUAGCUCGAGAUGUGAACUAUCUUAUUUCGGAUUCUCGUGCCUGAGUACUCUAUCGUUGAGGUGCUGCUAAAUACUUGAGACUUGCAUUUUGGGAACAUGAACGGGUUUUGUCUGGCUAGAAUAAGUAUAAGAGAUCAACGGACAUCGAGUCGGAUAGAAAGUGACGUGAGAAAUCGGACGGGGUUAUUCUAGUUGGGUGUGGGACGAUAUACCCCUUUUCUUUUGAUUCGCCCGUAUAUUGUCACUACAUGCCGUCAGUUGUGUACUUGUGUAUUGAAUAUCCACUUGACUUGAGACGUAUUUGUGUAUUUGAUUAUCUGUUUCUUUGAUAUGUUUAUGUGGUGUGUUAUGUGGGUAUAUGUUUAUUUGAGUAUUUGGUGCCCUCAAUUUUAGUUACUUUAGUCACCUUAUCGUGUUUAUUUACUAAAUUACCUUUCGGGGAAAAAGAAAAGAGAGGGAAAACAUAUAUAUGGACGGGAGACGUAGCCGUGGACGUGGACGUGGCCGUGGGAAUGAACGAGCUCAAGAGCCAAGAGAGGAAAGAGAAACAACAGCUGCACAAGAGCAAGGAACGAGGGUUGAAGCCGAAAACCAAAUGGCAACGGUAAUGCAACAAAUGACAGAUAUCUUGGCAAGACUGGUGGAUCAACAAGGCCAAAUGGCCGUGAAUCAACCCCGGAACCCUGAAAUCGGAGAAGAUAAGGCUCUUGAGAGGUUUCAGAAGUUUACUCCUCCGAAAUUCCUUGGAGGAUCUGAUCCGGAUAUAGCCGAACAAUGGUUAAAGGCCAUGAUGAAUAUUUUCACCGUCUUGAACUACACCGAGCAAAGACAAGUAAACUUUGCGGUGUUCCAAUUUGAAGGAUCGGCCCGAGCGUGGUGGAACGUUAUUAAAGCAAAAUGGGAAAGAGAACAGACCGUAUGGACAUGGACGAAUUUCAUAAGGGAAUUUAACGAGAAAUACCUCCCUUCUUUAGUUCAAGAGAGGAGAGAGGAAGAGUUUAUUGGACUACGCCAAGGAACGCUAAGUGUGGCCAAAUAUGAAACGAAAUUUACGAAACUAUCCAAGUUUGCUUCUGAAUUGGUGGCCACAGAGCGGCGAAGAGUAAGACGGUUUAUACAGGGAUUAAAUUUGGAACUCCAAGAAGCAUUAGCGGCAGUACAAGUGAAUACGUUUACAGAGGCCCUUGAGAAAGCUCAAAGAAUCGAGACUACAAAGACACAGAUAAAAGCUUUCCAGACCCAGAAAAGGAGUGCAUCGAGUAGUGUAGUGGAGGAAUUAAGUGAAGCGAGAGUCCCUUCCAAAGUGCAAAAGGUGAACUUUUUGUCCCACCCACCAUGGACAUUAGGGGCGAUAGGUGAAGGAUCUACAAAAGAAAGCCAAAUCAGAUUUGGAAAAAGUUUUCAAGAAAGCCAAAAGAUGGCUUCUCACGUGGUCUGUGGGUACUGUGGAAAGCAAAUCAUGUCGAAAGCAAUUGUUGGAGAAAGGGGCGGAAAUGUUUAAUCUGCGGAAGUGGCGAUCAUCAAGUUAGCAACUGUCCGAGGAGACAGUCACGUGAAAGCAAUAUUCUGCAACUGGAUGGAGCUAAAUCACAAGUGAAUGAAGGAGGGAAACAAACUAGCGGACCGGCAAGGGUUUAUGCUUUAGACAACCGACAAGUUCCGGACUCGUCUGAGGCAACUGAAGGUAAAAUUUCGAGGACGAAAUUUUUUUAAGGGGGAGAGAGUGUAAGGACCCGCAAAUUUCUUACAUUUUUUUUUCCUUUUCUUCAAAAAUGCCUUUUAUUUGAAAAUUAUUAUUUAUUAAAGCCCUACUACCCAAAUGUUCCACAAUAAGUGCAUAUGAACCUAGAAAGUAGGGUUUUACUCUUCAUUUCCAAGAUUGGGGCAAAUUAGGGUUUUCGCAAUUUUUCGCCGGAUGAAAUUUCGGUAUGGAGCAAGGAUCAAAUUUGGUGAUUAAAAGUGAAUUUUAAGUGAGAAAUAAUAUGUGAUUAGGAGUAAUGAGAUAAGGUUGGUGAAUAGGAAGUAAAAACCCUAGUACGUGUGUUUUUAAGAAAAACGGCGCGAACCGGCGGGUCCCGCGCACUACCGGUUGAACACACCACUUGAUCACCAUUUUCUUACCAUACAAGCUCAUUAAUAUUUGAGCAAAAUAUCUCCUAAAUUCCAGCUAAGCUUGACCGAAAUUAGAGGCUGAAAAUACAAGAAAAGAAAAGGAAAUUUUACUUGGUAAGGGUUGUGACAAGUGUCACACCAUUAGAGGCUAUUGACCAAGACAUUGUCCAAUCUUCUUAUCCCCGAAAUUGCACAAUUCUUCCUCAUUAUUUCUGCUGAAGAGCCGAGAGAGAGAUAGAGCAAAAACAAGAGAAAAGCUUCUCCAUUUCUUCUUGAAUCAAGUCACAAAGUGAGGAAACAAAGAAACUAAACCGAUUAAAGGCGCCCUUGAGUGUUUAUUGAGUGAGCUAUUGGUGAAAUUUUGAAGGGGAAGGCUAGGGUUGCUCUUGGUAGACACUAAGCAAGGUAAGGAUGAUGAUUUCCCCAAUUUUUACUCUUAAUCUUGUUUAAAUUAGCUUAGCAUCUCAAGAUUGUGAUGAAUUACGGUUGUUAUCAUGUUUUGGGUAAUUUUCCUUUUGUUACAUGAGUUAGGGUUUAAUAAAUUUCUGCCUAAACUUGAUGUAUGAUGAAUAUAUGUUGUAUCCAAGGUUAUAUAGGGGGUUUUGGUAGCAAGUGGAGUAAGAAAUUAAGAAAGUUAUCAUUGAAACCAAAAGAUUUCAGAUUACUGGAAAAUUGUCACUAGGUUCUGCCCGUUUUUAUUGCCCUAUGUUAGAGGCCGAAUUGGGCUUGGAAUAAAACAUGAAAGUUGUAGAGAAUGGUAUUUUAUAGGUUCCUACUAAAUUUCAGCUCAAUCGGAGCAACGUAGCCCGUGAAAAGACCAAAAUACCCUCACUAUUUUAGGAAAUUUCCAGUAUUCCGUUUUUGUCAAUUCAUCCAGUUUAUCAUGUUUGUUCACUAGGAUCCAUGCUGAUUUAGCUUUUUGAAAAAACAUGAAAGUUUUAGUAUUCUGUCUUAGAUUUUAAAUGCCACCAAGAACACCUUAAUUGGACCUUGGUAACCUGAGUUAUGACCAUUCCAGUGCAGUGCGGUUGAUUAGCCGACUAGUUGGAUUUUGGUUCUGUAAAUUGGGGAAUUUGACUAGGUUACAUUGGAAACUGGACUAAGUGAUCUUCAUGAACAUUGUAGCCCUGUGUCUUAGCUUCGUAAUGGUAUAGUUUGUGCCUCAAUCCGAUAAGCGUAGCCUCGGAUGUGUUAUUUCCGCAACCACACGUCAAAUCUGUCUUUUGCUAGAUUGUAUUUCCGCACUUGUUACGACUUUGAUACUUAUUCUUAUGAUGUUAUGAGCCUAUGGAACGGCUAUUGACUUGAAUUUAUGAUAUAUAUGACUUUGGGAUUGGCUGAGGAAAAAUAAUGAAGCCUAAAUGACUGGAAAAUUAGGUAAACACAAAUGGCGUGCUGCCCAAAUUUUCGCUCGAGGGCUAGGUUUCUAUUUGAACUUGUAUACUUUUGUUUGGCCAAUACCAUGACCGGCUUUCCAUUUUAAAACAUGAUUUUUCAUCCUUGGGUUCAAACAACCAUCUUCUUACUUGAAAGUCAUCUUUACACGUUUUACUCCUAAUUAGUCGGGUUUCUUUGUUUCCCUUAAAUGUUUUGCUCGAUAAACUGAAAUAUGUUCUCUUGUUCAACCUUAGGUUUCAUUGGUGACUAAGGGUAAUAUCCGGAAGGAUAUUUUGCACGUUAUUUUGCAUAACUAGGUGAGUGUUCCUUAUUUGACUUUAUGGCUUGUUGUUAUCGUUUACUAAUGUGUUAAGUGCUUUUAAUGAUUUCCAAAACGAGCUUUCUAGGCGAGUGUGUACUUUAUCGCACUCGACCUAAAUAACUGUGCAAUUUUCAAGGAUUUAAUGAUUAAAAUGUUACUUGCGCAUGAAUGUAAGCCUUUUGGGCUGAACUGGCCAUUGCCCCUUGUUACCAGUCGUCUCGAGCCAGAAGCGGACUCGGUCGGGCGAUUAGGAACUUGGGUGAACGUUUGGUAUACUCGAGUAUUACCCUGUAGGUUGGUGGAGACUGGCCAACGGCCAGGACGGGGGUGAAUGAAUGAAUGAACGAACGAACAAACGAACGAGGGUUUAUUGAUAAACGAAAAAUGCAUUUUCAAAUGAUUGGAGGAAUAAGGGGGAAAUGACAGGAGAACGAAUGAACGAACGAACGAAUUGCUCCUUGUGAGCCGUAUCCUUUUAAUGAAUGUUGCUAUCACUUUUCAUUGUAAAUGUUUCUUGAAUUAUUGAUACUCCAUGUUUAAUGUAUUGAAUUGAUUAUUUGAUUAUCUGUUCGGAACCUCACUUAGCUUUUAGCUCACCCCUUUAGUUUUGUUUUCCUUAACAGGGGACGGCGAGCAGGAUGAGAGCAUAGACUAGCCUAGUCUAGGUCUUUUGUUUCUUUUGUAAUGGUUCUCGCCCUAGUGCUUGAUAACAAAGAAGAGGUUGUCAUGGCAUUAGUGGCAUGAAUGUAGUCUGGAACAAUAUGAUAGAACAUGAUAACAAAGAAGAGGUUGUCAUGGCAUUCACAAUGAAAGAAAAAUAUGAUAAGCAUUGGGGAAAAAAAGAAAAAAUGAACAUGCUUAUUUUUGUUGCCUCCAUUCUUGAUCCACAUAUUAAAUUUGAGUAUGCAGAGUUUGUGCUUAUAAAAAUGUAUCGUCUGCAUGAUGGUGGAAACAUAGCUUCACUUGCAAAAGAAGCUUUGGUGCAACUAUUUUCUGAGUACAUAAAACUCAUCUUCCCUCUUGAAGUGAACUCCCCAGCUUUUUCAAGUAAAUUUGGAGCAAUUGAUAAAGGUACAAUGUCUAGUGAUAUGGAUGCUGGAAAACGCAUUCAAGACAUGUACAAAGAGGGGUUUAAAAAAAGAAAGAUAGAAACUGGUAUCAAUGAUUCAAAAAUUGAAUUGAAUAAAUAUCUCGGUGAGGAUUGUGAAGAAGAAGAAGAUGACUUUAAUAUUUUGACAUGGUGGAAGGUGAAUAGUCCUUGAUCCCUGUUCUUUCUAAAUUAGCUCAUGAUGUGUUGGUUGUGCCCAUAUCUACGGUUGCUUCUAAAGCUGCUUUUAACAUAGAUGGAAGAGUCCUUGAUCCAUUUAGGAGUUCUUUAACUCCUAGAAUAGUGCAAGCUUUGAUUUACACUCAAGAUUGGCUUCAGCCAUCGGACUCCAAACUGAAUGUGGAAGAAGAAUUGGAGGAUCUUGAAACUUUAGAAUCUCAUAAGAUAUUUCUUAUCUAAUGCAUAUGCUGAUUCUUGUAAAAUUCCAUUUCUCUAUUGUUUUAAAGUAACUAAUGUUUCUCAUUUUUAUGUUUUGUUGCAGGUUUGAUUAAGGGAGGUGUUGAAACUUCAAUCACCCUUUAGUUGGAGAAGUUCAGAAGAUACUGGGGCUUUGACUUUGUUGCAGGCAGCAUAUUUAGUUGUUUACUAAGUUUCUCUUACCUAACUAUUUGAACUUUCAAGACAAUUUGGCAUUAUGGAUUCUAUUGAAUUUGAACGAUUUUUGAUUUCUGACUUCUGAAUUCAGUUGUGACUUGUGGAAUGUGGACUUGUGACUUUAGUCUUUUAUGACUUGUGUUGUAUUUGAAUUGAUGAAUUCUGGCACUUCUAAUGUGUGUGUUGAUUUCUUUUGACUUCGUGUUAUAAGCCUAUAACUCGACUAAUUACAGUGGCUAUUAGACUUGAUUAUAGGAGUUUAAUUAGGCUGGAAAUUGCAAAUUUUGAAAUGGAGUCUUCAGCAACAAAUUUACUUUUUUUUAAUGAAAAUGGUUAACUCAAAUUCAUUACUAUUUUCGAAUUCAAAUUUGGAAAUGAAAUUAAUUCAGAUAUCUCCAAUUCAAAAUUGAAAAUGGUUUAAAUUUCUACAAAUCUAAUAACCGAAAUAACUGAAUUCAACUAACCUAAUUAUCAAAUUUGCAUUGAAUGCUCACCCUUAGUUGGGAAACAAAGUCCUGCUUUGUCAAUGGACUUUCAUAUGAUGCCUCAAGUACAUAAAAUGGAUGUUGAUUCGUGCUAAUUUAAACCAUGCAUAGCCAGAUCAAGGGGAAAAUGGUCAUUUUGGUACCUCAUAUUUGAAGUUUUGGCCAAUUUAAUCUUUUAUCCAUUAUUGCGACCAUUUUAUUUCUUUAUUUUACAAAAAAAAAAAAAACAAUUUAGGACCUCUAACAUUAAUCCAUAUAUGGAAUGUGCCUUGUUAAAAAUGACCAUCUUGAUCGACUAUCUUUAGGUUUGUUUUCAAAUUUGUCCUUUCAACAAUUUAAAUUAUCAUUUAUACAAAAUAAAGUCAAUAUAAUGUUAAAAAAUCCUAAUGGAACCGACUCCAUACACUAUAAAUCUACAUUUGAAACAAAAAAUGAGCAAAAUAGGAUAAAAAAGCAUACCACUCAUUCUAAAUUCAGUCAAUAGUAUUUUUCUAUAUGUAGAUAAGAUACUAAUGGUUGAUACUAUAAAAGGCGUUGAAGAUACUAAUUCUUCAAAAUAAAGGAUCCUGGAAAGUUGAUACUAUCUUAAAUAUCAAAAUCAGGAAAAUAGUAAAGGUUAUGUUUUGUGUCAAUCUCAUAUAUUAACAAAACAUUAAAUUAGUUUCAACAUCUAAAGAUAAAAGGUGAGUACUAUCUUUAGUUCUAACUUGAAAUUUCAUAAAAUUUUGGUAGUUCAAUUGCUCAAUUUUCAUAUACAAAUGCCAUUGGAAACUUGAUGUAUGCAUUGCACACUCUACAAGACCACAUAUUUUAUGCUUAGUUUGUAGAUUUGCAAGGUUUACCAAAAUCCCGGUAUAGACUAUUAGAGGUCUAUUGGGAGAGUAAUUGUUUACUCUUAUGCUAGUUGGUCCACUAGUGCGAGGAAUUCUACAAGUGAGUGGAUAUUCAUUUUGGAUGGUAGUGUAAUUAUAUCGACUUCUAAGAAGCAAACCGUAACCGCUCAUUUCAUCAUAUAAGUUGAAGUCAUAACUUUGGUUACUGGCUGCAUAAAAAGGUGAAAUAGUUUAGGAUUUGUUAUUUAUUGACCAGCUAUGGUCAUAACCUAUGCCUCCAACGUCUUUAUACUGUGGCAGUGUAACUACAAUGUCUAAAGUUUUGAACUAUGUGUAUAAUGUUAAAUUUAGACAUAUUAAUCUAAAAAGUAAGUAUUUUAGACAAAUGUCAAAAGGAUGGCAUUGGCAUUAGUGGUGGAGCCAAGAUCCGAGAGUAGGUAAGGUCAAAGUUUAAUACAAUAAAACUUCUACAAAGUAAAAAGUGUAAUAUAAAAAGAACAAAAAAAAAGAGUAAAUAUUUCCUACACUGACGGUGUAUACACUAUUAUUGUUAGAUUCAUGACAUAUGUGCAAAAGUUGAAUUUCAAAUUCAAAUUUUGUAUAGUUGUCAUUCAUCCAACGCUGAUGAUGUAUACACUAUCAGUAUAGGAAAUAUUAAUCCAAAAAAAAAAAGCAAAACUAUAAUAUUAGAUAUGUAUUAUAAUUGUCCUCUAUGAGUACUCAACUUCUGAAAAUAUUGCAAAAUCAGCUCAUUGUCAAUUUUAUUAAAUAUAUAUUUUUUAAUGUAAGUAACGAAACAAUCAUUCAUCCAUCAAUCACCAUAAGACAUGCAAUCGAUUUUUGACAAUCUUCACUGCUAAAAAGGUCAUUUCCACGGCUGCUGUAGUAAUAGGUAAAGUAACUACUAAUUUUAUAAGUAAAUAGACUGAUGAAUAUACAAUAUCCCUUUUAGUCUUAACUUACUCUACUGUAAGGCUAGCAAUUCCUUUUAAUUCUGCAAAUUCAUUGAUAGGGUGCAUAUCAAGGAUAUAAGUAUCAAUCUGAUUGUCAUGAACCAUCAGAUCAAUUGAAAAAAAAAAAACUCAAAUGGAUAGAAUUUUGCAAAGUGAAUCAACUUUUCCUUGUCAAAAGAUGAGAAAUCAUCAUUUGGAGCAGGAUAUUACAUACAAAUAAGCAAUUCAGCAUUUGCCUUAGUCAAACCCUCAUUCAACUCGUGAAACCACACUAUAAAAUAAAUCUACUUUACAGUGGUGUAAGUGUGAAAUAUUUGGAAUUUUUCGCUUUGACUUUCCUUUAAGAACAUAUAUAGCAUCCAUAUUGGGAACCUCAACUUCAUAUUCGAUGCAAAAUGCAGUAACCUCAUCUAACAAUAUAUCCCAUCCAACAUCUUUCAUUAAUUGCAAUCGCUAUAUAGCAAUUUUAACUAGACUCAUUGCAUUCAAAAUAUCUGAUCUUUUCUAUGCAAUGCUAAAGAUAGCUUAUCUGUUAUCCCCAACAAAUUUUUGCAUGUCAUUUGUGAACUUCAAGCGUCUUAGCUAAUCUCUUGUAUCUGUUAUCCCCAACAAAUUUUUGCAUGUCAUUUGUGAACUUCAAGCGUCUUAGCUAAUCUCUUGUAUCUGUUAUUCCCAACAAAUUUUUGCAUGUCAUUUGUGAACUUCAAGCGUCUUAGCUAAUCUCUUGCAUGUCAUCUUUUUGGAAUAAGACUUCAAAAUUAGGGAUAGGAAUCUGUCUCAAGUUGCAAUAGCCUACCCAUGUCCAAAGAGAUUUUUGGUGGGAUGCAUAUUCUAAUUUUGAUGUUCGGUUUGAAAUGGGAUUAAUCCCAUUUAUGCCCAUCAAUUGAUAGAAAUUCUUGGAAAAUACUGGGGUGCCCAUUGGGGUCUAAACAUCUCACCAAAAAUUUAAUUCACCCAAGAACUCCUCUCUCCCAAACAAAUAUACUUUGUUGUUGUUACUAAAAAUUGGAGAAUAAAGCAGGUCAUGUGGUUAGAAAUUCUUUUGUCCUCAAAUUCUGUUCUCCUUUCUCUUCUAUAUUGCAACGAAAAGAUUAAGAUAGUAAUUCCAGAUUAAAUUUUAAAUUAGACCAUCUAGUUAUCUGGGUAAAAUGAUUCUAAAAUUUGUUGGCCGUUAAGUGAAAUAAAAUAUAGGAAACUGUGUUAUUUUUUACUUGUUGAAACUAAAGCAUUUAGGUUGAUGUGCCUCUGAUAUAUAUAUAUAUAUAUAUAUAUAUAUAUAUAUAUAUAUAUAUAUAUAUAUAUAUAUGAAAAGUUUUAAUGCAAUGAAACUUUCAUCUUUGCACCUUAUUGUUGGGCUACAACUAAUUUCACUAGCUAUGUGAAAAGUUUUAAUAUGACUAAACUUUCAUCCUUGCACCUUAUUGUUGUGCUUCAACUAAUUUCACUAGUUAUGCUUUUCCACAAGCUCUAGUAGUAUAAGUACAAGUCCAUACAGUGGCAUUUCUUUAUAAUCAUAAAUAUAAAUCUUUUAAAGUUUUUAGAGGACUUAUUUUUUCCUCAACUAAAAUUUAGCAACAGUGGAAAUCUGAGAUUAAAAUGUAUAUAUACAUAGAAAAAAAAAAUUUGAGUAACAAAAGGAAUUCAGAAAAAUAUAAAUUCAUAGUAGGAACAAAAGAAAUUUAAUAAAUAAAAAAUAUUAAAGUUAUAUAAAAAUAAAAAAAUAAUUUAAAAAAAGAAGAAUAAAAAAUAGAUUUUGGAUAUUGAGCGGAAUCAAUCUAAACCCAUUUCAAAGUGAUCUUACCCAAAUUAGUCCCAAAACACAUAUCAAAGUGAUCUUACCCAAAUUAGUCCCAAAACACAUAUAGAUAAGGUUAGGUCUAAAUUCAUAUUAUUCGAUCUCAUUUCAAAUCCAAGCAGAUCCCGCUCAUCCCACUCAUUUUGCCACCUCUAUUUGAAAGGAACAGUGAACAAUUUUCAUUUCAUUUUUAUCGGAUUGUAUUAAAAAUGUACAACAAAAGUCACCGAGUGUUCGUUUUACUAUUUGAAAUCUAAUCAUUCAGGGAUAUACACAAUAAUUAUAUAUAUGUGAGAACCCGUAAUUUUCAUUUUCUAGGUUUUAGAAUUUUUCAUGAUUUGUUUUCUGCAUUUUCGUGAUUAGAAAAUUUUUCUAGAUAAUUUUAAGGAGUAGAUAUAAUUUUUAGAUGAUUUUUCUAGUAUCGAAUGGAUUUUGAGAAAUUAAGAGCAGAUACCGGACGUGGGACCCACUAGUGCGAAAAGUUCGAAUAACUUCGGUCGACUAGAUUAAGUUUUGGAUACUGGAAUUAUAUUUAUCGGGUGUUAAGAGAUAAGUAGAGAGUGCUAAGUGGAUUAAUAUAAGGGAGACAAGGUAGUUGAGCAUUUAAUAAAAGGUGACAAGUGUCACCAUUUGAUUGGGCUUACUUUAAGACUUUCUUACCAUUGACUUAAAUAACCAAAAAUGACCCAAAAAUCAUCAAAAAUCCUCCAAGGGUGGCCGACUUUCUUGAAGCUCAAAGGAAAGAAAACUCUUCACAAUUUUGGUCUCCAAUCUUGCUCAAUCUCUCAAAUCAACCGAUUAAUCUUCCAAUUGUUCCAUAAAACUCCUCCACUUAGUGAUUUUGAGGUGAUUGGUGAAGUUAUUUGGAAAGUUAAGGUGGUCCAUAGCUCUCUCUCUCUUGUUUUAAAGGUAAGUUAUGAAGAACCACCCUCCUCCUUUAAUUGAUGCUCAAAUCAUGCUUAGUGGAAGUAGAAGAUGCAAGUUUAUGGAUUAAUUCUUGAUUUGUGGUUGAAAUGAUGACUUUUUAUUAUUUUUGGGGAUUUUUAUGUUUUAUUAUAAGCAUGAUGGUGUGGCUAUCUAUGAUGAUUGGAUAUGGUUUAUAAUGAGUAUAGGAGGUGGGAAAAGUGAUUAAUUGCAACUAAUUUCGGUUUUGGAAGAAAAUUGGAAAAUCUAGGGUUCUUAAGGGUGCAUUCUGUCCGAAUUUUUAGGUCAUAGAUAGAGGCCGAAUUGGCCUUAACUCAAAACAUGAAAGUUGUAGGGAAUACCAUUUUAGAGGUACCUACAAAAUUUCAGGUCAAUCAGAGUUGUGUGGAAUGAGAUAAGUCGAAAUUACUAUUGCUGUUCUGGUUUACCCGACAUUGGGAUUUGCGACUGUAAUUGGUUUUUUUGACUGGAAUUGCUUCCGAAUUGGGUGUUGAGGCCUUCUGAUGAAAUUUAUCCCUAUUUCGUAGCUUUCAGCUGGUUUUGGAAUUUCUGGAUUUGGACUUGUAGAGCCUGAGUUAUGAUAUUUCCGCUAGAAUGCGUUUUGGUGAAUCUGUUUUACGAUUUUGAUGUAGUAUCUUGUAUUUUUGACCUGUUUACACUCAAAACUGGGUUGAGUGACCUUCUGUGAUGUUGUAGCCCUGUCUUUUAGCUUCGAGAUGGUGGGUCUUGCACCCUCAUCCGAUAAGCGUAGUGAAAUUGGUGCCAUUACCGCAAAAUGACGUCAAAACUGUUUUUUUUUGGGACCAAAGUGAAUUGCAUUUCUGAAAUUUCUGGUUUCCUCUAUUGUUUGUAAAUGUUAUGGAACCUUAUUGGGGUCAUGUUUGGCCUUGGUUUAUGACUCGUUAUCGAGUCUCAUUGUAUUUGUUUACAUGUUUUUAGGGCGUGACCGUGGUGCCCAACGUUCUUUUGACUAAAGUGCUUGAAACCACAUUUGCUAGCGUGGUGAGUUUACUACUCACUUGUGUGCUAUUAUAUGGCUUUGCUACUUGAACUUGGUGCUUGGAAUGUUAAUUGCUUGAAGUGAAAGUGUACUUUAUCACUCUCACUUAUUGUUUCGCAUGUUAUUGAAAAGUUAUUGGAAUGUUAUAUGAAAUGUUAUAUGAAAUGAAAUACAAAUGUUAUCAAUGUUAUCAAUGACUUCAAAUAUUAUCCAUGAGCUCAAUCCCAUUGGAAAUUGAUUGAAUCGAGCCGGCGAGGGAUUGGUCGUGCCAAUUAAUGUACCUUGGGCAACGUUAUAUGGAAUCUUGUAGUAUGAGAGACUCUUGAUUCCGGUUUACUCGAGUAAUAUCACAAUGCAUGCGUUUGGAUUUCGGGCGAGGAAUGUUAGGAGGAAGGGAAUGGAAGUUAAGUGAAGUCUACGGUUGGUUACUUUCAAACAUUGACGGAGAGUCAAUGAGAUCCGAUCAAGAAUGCAAACGAGGAAAAGGGCUCUUGAGAGCCACCCGUAUCCUUUCAUCCUCAUUAUUAAUGUGUGGCUUUACUUAUUUUUGGUCAAUUGAACUGUUCAACUUGAUGCAUCUAUGAACUUGGUGGCUUGAGUUGUAUUCUCACUGGGCAAUUAGCUCACCCCGUUCCUUUUGUUUUCCUUACAGGAUUAUGACUCUUUUGGAAUGAAUUUUGAUAAAUGGUUGCCGAAUGAACUAGAUGCAUGUCUCUUUUGUAUUGUAUAUAAAAUGGGACCCUAAAUGUAUCAUUAGGGCCGUUUUCACUUUUGUUUUGGCAAACCACAUAUGUAGUGACUUUUGUAUCACUUUUACAUGCCAUUUUGGCUUGUAAAUGCUAAAUGUUAUGUUGUAUAUGUAUUUCGAUGUUUGGUUAGGUUCGGACGGGUCGGUUACUAUGCAUGGCCGACUCCGGAUUUUGUUUCUUUUAUUUUGGGUUUUUGCCCUUUUGCCUUGUUUUCACGCGUUAUAAGUUCCGGAACGUGAUAGCUCGCUCUAUACUGCACCGUUAGUCCUGGCGAGAGCUGGGCAGGCAGUCCGCUAACCUCUUUGGUUCGCCUUAGGGGAAGGUGGGGCUGUCACAGGUGGUAUCAGAGCCACUUCGCGUGGUCUCUGCGCGGAGUGAGCCUAGGGCCAAGUGGUGUUAUGGUCCUGAUUUCAUGAAUAUGUCUAAGUGCUCUUUUGAGCAUAAGUUAUGAAUUGGGCAUGUCAUAAGUGUAAAAAUUUUUAUCAUGAAACUUGAGGAAGAUAGAUAUGUAUGUCGGGUAGGAAUCUUUAGUAUGGAUGAUUUACGCUUGGGACCGGCCGGCUCGAGUUGUGAAUUAUCUUAAAUGGGAUUCUUGCGCCCGGAUACGAAAGAGACGAGAGUCUAGGUUAGAAAGAAUUGGGCGAACUAGAAAUUGUGAUUUUGUAUGUACCUGACUGACUGUUCUGUAUACUUGUUGAUACUGUUAUGUGUUCUCUGUAUAUGUGUUAUGUGUUUAAAUGCUCUACGAGGGAGUGGAGUAGUUAAUUGUUCUUGUUUACUUGUUCCUGUUUAGUGCUGCGAGAAGGAGGGGUUAGGUGCCCUUUAACAGUAUACUUAUUUUGUGACCUAGAUCGACUUAGAUUGUAUGGAAGGCACACGUAGUGGACGGGGGCGUGGGCGCGGGAAUAGGCAAGCUACGCCAGACCGGGGUGCUGGGGAAACCUCCUCUGGACCCCAUCUUGAACCGAGAGUCGAUCCCAGUGUACAGAUAGCUGCUGCUAUGCAGCAAAUGACAAACUUGCUGGCACAAGUGGUGCAGCAACAAGGCCAGAAUCCAAAUCCUAAUCCAGGGAACCCUGGAAACCCUGGCAAUCAUGUUGAGAGCGAAGACAGAGCUCUGGAACGAUUUCAAAAGUUUGCCCCACCCAAGUUCAUUGGGGGACCCGAUCCGGAUGUUGCUGAAAGGUGGCUCGAAAAGAUGGUCGAUAUUUUCGCCGCCCUGCACUAUACAGAAGAACGGCAGGUGACUUUUGCCGUUUUCCAGCUGGAAGAGGCGGCCCGCUCCUGGUGGAAUGUCAUUCGGCAAAAAUGGGAGCGGGAACAAACGCCCAAGACUUGGGUAAAUUUUAUGAGGGAGUUUAACGCGAAAUUCUUCCCUCCUCUGGUUCAGGAAAGGAAGGAAGAUGAGUUCAUCCGACUCCGCCAAGGAGCUCAAUCGGUGGCGGAAUACGAGAGCCAGUUCACCCGCCUGUCCAAAUUUGCGCCUGAGUUGAUUGUGACGGAGCAACGGCGAAUUAGGCGUUUUAUCCAGGGCCUAAACGUGGAGAUUCAGAAGGACCUCGCAGUGGCUCAAAUCAAUGCUUUUAGUGAGGCCGUUGAGAAGGCCCAACGGGUAGAGAGUGCCAGAUUGCAAGUAAGAAAUUUCCAGGCGAAAAAGCGAGGAUUUCCUGGAAAUAGUUCGGGGCAGGGGGAUGAAAGUACCCCUUCCAAGUUUGGGCGAGGAAAUGGAGAAGAAAGGGUACCGGGAGUGUCACGAGAGAGCCCGUCACGAGGCGGCCAUUUGGGGAGAGGCCAGAGAGGAGGCUCGGCUUCUGCAGCACGCGGACCUUGCGGGUACUGCGGAAAGUCGAAUCAUUCUGAAGACAAUUGCUGGAAGAAGGGAGGCAAAUGUCUGCGUUGUGGAAGCGCAGACCACAAGCUUGCUACCUGCCUACUUAUGACGCAAGAAGGAAGGGGAGCUCAAACUACGUCAAAGACCAACACGGGACCGGAUAAGGGGAAUGGGACGAAAUCUAAGGUAGCAGCUCGAGUGUAUUCACUGGAGCCACAACAGGUCCCCGAUUCUCCUGAGAUUGAGGAAGGUAUGAUUGCGGUAUUUCUGCGGACAUAUUAGUAGAUCCCGGUGUUACUCAUCCAUUUGUCAAUCCCAAUUUUGAUGGACGAAAUAGAUACCACGCCUGCUUGUCUACCCUACGACCUGAAAGUAGUAUUCCUUUGGGGAAAUCAUCGUUUGAGCCUUGGUAUGGUUUGUAAGGAUCGCAGAGUUUGGGUAGGAGAGAGAAUAGUGUUCGCGAAAAAAAAAAAAUCAUGGGAUAGAAAAGACUACUUGGGAGGUGAAAAAGGAAUACCCUGAGCUGUUUGUGAACCAAGGUGAGAAAUUUCGAGGGCGAAAUUCUUUUAAGGGGGAGAGAGUGUGAGAACCCGUAAUUUUCAUUUUCUAGGUUUUAGAAUUUUUCAUGAUUUGUUUUCUGCAUUUUCGUGAUUAGAAAAUUUUUCUAGAUAAUUUUAAGGAGUAGAUAUAAUUUUUAGAUGAUUUUUCUAGUAUCGAAUGGAUUUUGAGAAAUUAAGAGCAGAUACCGGACGUGGGACCCACUAGUGCGAAAAGUUCGAAUAAAUUCGGUCGACUAGAUUAAGUUUUGGAUACUGGAAUUAUAUUUAUCGGGUGUUAAGAGAUAAGUAGAGAGUGCUAAGUGGAUUAAUAUAAGGGAGACAAGGUAGUUGAGCAUUUAAUAAAAGGUGACAAGUGUCACCAUUUGAUUGGGCUUACUUUAAGACUUUCUUACCAUUGACUUAAAUAACCAAAAAUGACCCAAAAAUCAUCAAAAAUCCUCCAAGGGUGGCCGACUUUCUUGAAGCUCAAAGGAAAGAAAACUCUUCACAAUUUUGGUCUCCAAUCUUGCUCAAUCUCUCAAAUCAACCGAUUAAUCUUCCAAUUGUUCCAUAAAACUCCUCCACUUAGUGAUUUUGAGGUGAUUGGUGAAGUUAUUUGGAAAGUUAAGGUGGUCCAUAGCUCUCUCUCUCUUGUUUUAAAGGUAAGUUAUGAAGAACCACCCUCCUCCUUUAAUUGAUGCUCAAAUCAUGCUUAGUGGAAGUAGAAGAUGCAAGUUUAUGGAUUAAUUCUUGAUUUGUGGUUGAAAUGAUGACUUUUUAUUAUUUUUGGGGAUUUUUAUGUUUUAUUAUAAGCAUGAUGGUGUGGCUAUCUAUGAUGAUUGGAUAUGGUUUAUAAUGAGUAUAGGAGGUGGGAAAAGUGAUUAAUUGCAACUAAUUUCGGUUUUGGAAGAAAAUUGGAAAAUCUAGGGUUCUUAAGGGUGCAUUCUGUCCGAAUUUUUAGGUCAUAGAUAGAGGCCGAAUUAGCCUUAAAUCAAAACAUGAAAGUUGUAGGGAAUGCCAUUUUAGAGGUGCCUACAAAAUUUCAGGUCAAUCAGAGUUGUGUGGAAUGAGAUAAGUCGAAAUUACUAUUGCUGUUCUGGUUUACCCGACAUUGGGAUUUGCGACUGUAAUUGGUUGUUUUGACUGGAAUUGCUUCCGAAUUGGGUGUUGAGGCCUUCUGAUGAAAUUUAUCCCUAUUUCGUAGCUUUCAGCUGGUUUUGGAAUUUCUGGAUUUGGACUUGUAGAGCCUGAGUUAUGAUAUUUCCGCUAGAAUGCGUUUUGGUGAAUCUGUUUUACGAUUUUGAUGUAGUAUCUUGUAUUUUUGACCUGUUUACACUCAAAACUGGGUUGAGUGACCUUCUGUGAUGUUGUAGCCCUGUCUUUUAGCUUCGAGAUGGCGGGUCUUGCACCCUCAUCCGAUAAGCGUAGUGAAAUUGGUGCCAUUACUGCAAAAUGACGUCAAAACUGUUUUUUUUUGGGACCAAAGUGAAUUGCAUUUCUGAAAUUUCUGGUUUCCUCUAUUGUUUGUAAAUGUUAUGGAACCUUAUUGGGGUCAUGUUUGGCCUUGGUUUAUGACUCGUUAUCGAGUCUCAUUGUAUUUGUUUACAUGUUUUUAGGGCGUAACCGUGGUGCCCAACGUUCUUUUGACUAAAGUGCUUGAAACCACAUUUGCUAGCGUGGUGAGUUUACUACUCACUUGUGUGCUAUUAUAUGGCUUUGCUACUUGAACUUGGUGCUUGGAAUGUUAAUUGCUUGAAGUGAAAGUGUACUUUAUCACUCUCACUUAUUGUUUCGCAUGUUAUUGAAAAGUUAUUGGAAUGUUAUAUGAAAUGUUAUAUGAAAUGAAAUACAAAUGUUAUCAAUGUUAUCAAUGACUUCAAAUAUUAUCCAUGAGCUCAAUCCCAUUGGAAAUUGAUUGAAUCGAGCCGGCGAGGGCUUGGUCGUGCCAAUUAAUGUACCUUGGGCAACGUUAUAUGGAAUCUUGUAGUAUGAGAGACUCUUGAUUCCGGUUUACUCGAGUAAUACCACAAUGCAUGCGUUUGGAUUUCGGGCCCGGUUGAGGAAUGUUAGGAGGAAGGGAAUGGAAGUUAAGUGAAGUCUACGGUUGGUUACUUUCAAACAUUGACGGAGAGUCAAUGAGAUCCGAUCAAGAAUGCAAACGAGGAAAAGGGCUCUUGAGAGCCACCCGUAUCCUUUCAUCCUCAUUAUUAAUGUGUGGCUUUACUUAUUUUUGGUCAAUUGAACUGUUCAACUUGAUGCAUCUAUGAACUUGGUGGCUUGAGUUGUAUUCUCACUGGGCAAUUAGCUCACCCCGUUCCUUUUGUUUUCCUUACAGGAUUAUGACUCUUUUGGAAUGAAUUUUGAUAAAUGGUUGCCGAAUGAACUAGAUGAAUGUCUCUUUUGUAUUGUAUAUAAAAUGGGACCCUAAAUGUAUCAUUAGGGCCGUUUUCACUUUUGUUUUGGCAAACCACAUAUGUAGUGACUUUUGUAUCACUUUUAAAUGCCAUUUUGGCUUGUAAAUGCUAAAUGUUAUGUUGUAUAUGUAUUUCGAUGUUUGGUUAGGUUCGGACGGGUCGGUUACUAUUCAUGGCCGACUCCGGAUUUUGUUUCUUUUAUUUUGGGUUUUUGCUCUUUUGCCUUGUUUUCACGCGUUAUAAGUUCCGGAACGUGAUAGAUCGCUCUAUACUGCACCGUUAGUCCUGGCGAGAGUUGGGCAGGCAGUCCGCUAACCUCUUUGGUUCGCCUUAGGGGAAGGUGGGGCUGUCACAAUAUACAUGUCAAAUGUGUACGUUAAUUAAAGUCCCAUGCAGUAUAUUUAAAACUCAAAAUGCGUGGCAACUUGCAAUGUGCCCGAUCACUUGGAUGUACAAAGUCCAAUAAACCCGGUAGCUUUUGCUUUAGAAACUCGAUUGUGGAUGACUGCUUUCUGUUAAAGGCCGUGUAAAAUCAACUAGCUAUAGGGCUCUUUUGCUCAGCGUAUGACAAUUUCAACCUUUAGAUGAUAUAUAAUUGAACGUUUUGGGCACUCGAAAAUGUAGUAACUGGCCAAUGCUUUCCAUAGCAAUCCCAAUAGCAAAAGAUAAAGUGGAAAAAAGUUUAAAAAGGAAAAAAGGUGUUUGUUUGGGUUCAGCGUGGUUCUGUUGUCUUAUUUAAUUGUGUAAACGAUGCCUUAAGAUUGAGUAAGUAAUGUUUCAGACAUUUCGAGGCUUUCACCUUAAAUUGAUGUGCCAACCCAUGGGCGAUCUUCCAGCAUUGCUGGUACCUGCUACAAGGCUCGCUAGCAGAUAAAUAUUUCAGUUUCAGGUUACUACCAAAAUUCAAUCAUAUAUAAAAAUUUGCAACAGAGAGCGAAACCGAUAAUGUGAGCAUAUGUUCUCACUUAUUGAUUCCCCAGUUUACUAAAACAAUAGGAUCAAUUUCUCCAGAACUGCAUGCUUGGAACGGUGAAGGGUUGUUUUGUGGUUUUUUUUUUCUUGGGUGGGGUGGGGGGGGGGGCGAGGAGGGUGUGCGUGGAGGGGACCCUAGCUAGCUGAAGAAUCUAACUGGAGAGUAUUACAAUGACAACCAAUUCAGGAGGGUGUCAAAUUGGGAUAAAAUGGGAUUCCAGUAUUAGGCAGCCAUGCAGUUCCCUGGAUGAAAUUCCCAACCGUAAACUGACUGGCAACGGUGGUAUUGGUGAUGACCCUGUAACCAGGCCAUUUUACUCUGGCAGUGGUGUUUGAACCGGGUCCUCUAUUCUUAUACUCCCCAUAGAAAAGGGUUGACAAUGCAAAACUACCGUUCCACGGCAACCAUCCAGCAGGGUCUAUCAAGCUUUCCAUGUUUGACAGAAGGUAAACAGUUCUUGAAUAUUCUUUCCACGGACGACCAAGAUAGCUUCUAAAUGAGGAUAGGACGGGAAGCAAAUCUGCCGCUGCAGCAACUUUGCAGUUCAAGAUCGAAAUCCCAGUAUUUUGGUUAGGAUCCUCUCUUCCUUGGGCAGUGAAUAAGUUUUGCUGGUUUGGGUUUGGUCUCCGGGCAUAAAGGUUGCAAAGUUGGAACACAACAGCGGCAUUCCCGAAGAUGAAGUCGACUGUACCAUACACAUCGCAUUCCCUAUAAAAUUGUCGAAGGGAAUGCACGUAGAGCGUGUCCUGGUAGCCGAUGAAGCUGCAUUGGUAGAAUGCUGAGAGAUCUGAGCCACUCCUCAGGGCCACUGCUUGGUGUUGGCUAGGUCCAGCGUAGUUUUCAAUGGUGAUCCCUCUGGCAAUGAAUCCAUCUCCCACCACAGCUGCAAAUUUUCAGAUAAGCAGAUCAGUGAAUUGUUCGGUAAAAUUGCUGAUGAGACCUUGGCUUGAUAAUGUGGACUAGUUCACAAGGUGGAAGUCCCAGAUGUCUCCAAAUUUAACAUAAGGGAAGUUAAGGGACAUGGACAUCGAGGAGGCGAACAUCUAUAGUACACGCACAACCUUUGGCCACUGUUUGAUCUGUAGGUCACUGUAUAUCUCCUGAACUCAUUCCAAUAUGAGAUUCCCAGAGCUUGAGUUGGAGUUGCCUCAAGAAAAGAACAAAUACUCUUCGAGUUACUUAAUUCAAGAGGAUCCCAACAUGAGAAGUCUAAGUAAAUGGGAUAUCCACGUGCAACUAAGGGCGGGGACUGCUGUCAUAAUUAAGUUGGUUUUCCCACUAAGGCAAAAAAUUUAGGAUUUGCAUGGAUUAUGUUUUUACAAGUAUAUAUUAAAAACUUUCACAGAAGAUAUAUAUUGGAAAUAUUCUUACAACUUAAAAUUUGAUUGGUAUAUUUUUGAGAUUUUUUUCUUCCCUACCACAACCAUCUAUCGCCCUCUCUCCACCCCCUCCCAAGCCACCACCAGCAAGCAAUGCCGCUGCUUAAGAUAGAUGAUAGAGUUGGUAGCGGGGAAGGAGGAGAGGAGAGAUAAUAGUAGUAGUGGGUGGAGAGAGAAAGAGGUGGUAGAAUUUUUAUUUUUUAUUUUAGAUUAUAUUUGAAGUGCUUUUUGAAGUGUGCUACUAUAACAUAUUAUUGUAUGUGAAAAACUCCUAAUUUAAACAGACUCUCAAACCUCAAGUCUAAGGUUCUAUUGAAGCCACUGAUACGUGGAAGAUAAAUCAUUGUUAGAUCUCUUUUAUAAAAUUCUAUGUAUAAUUUCUGAUGAACAAGGUAAAAAGUUUGUAAUUGAUGUGGAAAGGUUACACCCUCCUACUUCAAGAUGGGAACUAUAGAAACAAGGUUGUAUGUUUUCAAUGAAGACAUGGACAUUAAUGGCACCGUAACAAUGGAAGGUGCAUUAGAAAAAGUUACAAAAUACUUGUGCGACCUAAAAUUUAGUAAAGUGGUGAAAGAGAAAGUAAGGAAGGUGGAAGACAAAUUAUUAAAAAAAUAAAAGAGAAAGAAAACAAUAGCAUUAUUAUGAUUACAAGAUUAUGACACAUUUGUGCCUCAUAUUUUAAAUCAUUAUCUUGUGAUAAGACAACAUUACUAUGCUUUUUUAAAAGCAUAUAUCAUGAUGGUUAACCUAAUGGUCAGGGGAUGGAUUUUAGAAAUCUCCAUUGAAUUCUGUGUCUCACAAUUGGAAGUGGAAACAGAAAUGAGAGACAUAGAACCCAAAAAAAAAAGCCAAGAAAACAAGGGAGGCUAGACUAGCUCCAAGAAACUAUCCGGGUUUGACGCUCAUGAGAUUCUACUAGACGCAUUUUGCGACAAAUCGGCCCUACUUCUGCAGUUCUACUUUAAACACAUUUUGAAAAUUAAGAAAAUUGACAUUUGAAAUUUGAAAAUACCCUCAGAGUAUCUGAGGGUCCAUGUUUGAAGCACACAGAACCCCAGAUCCAGCUCUUUAGGCUAGAGUGACUGGCGCCGGUAAUCCUCGGAGAUGCCACAAAAGGAUGCCCAAACAAGAAAAUAAGAAAGCAUAAAAGGGCCCCUUCCUACAACAACUAUAGCUCGUUUGUCGAAAGAGAAAUUGAGAGAAAAGGAAGCGUUUGGUAGAGAAAGUGUGUGUGUGUGUGUGUUUUUUCUUUUUUUGUUAAAUGAAGAAAGAAAGAAAACAAAAAAGUGGAUGAUUUGGGAUGAUUGUAACUUAAAAUUUCUCUCCAAAGUUGGAGAGCAGAUGGAGAGAAACAUCAACUAACACUGGAAAAAGAUGUGCAAAUACUUAUUCAAGGCUAAGGACAAAAUUUAAUAGACGAAAGUCACAAUAUUUCUUUUUUAAUAUCUAAACUCCCAAACAGGAGAGGAGAAAAGUCUUUCCAACUUCUCCACCCCUCUUCCCCCCCCCCCCCCCCCACCAAAAAACCUAACUUACCAUUUCUUUUCUUUACUUUCUAACUCCUAAUGAAAAGACUGCAGAGUCUAAUACUAUCUCAUAUGAUCUUCAGAAGGAAUCGAACCAAUGUUUCUAUGCCACUUCAAGGUGAGUUAAAAAUUGAACUGAUAGAAUUCGUUAAACGAUAUAACAACUCUACCCAGUUCAAAUCUUACGUUUCAUUUUUGUCACCACAAAUCAAGAGUGACGCAACAAGUAACUCCUCAAAAAAGUACACUAUUUUCCUUCCCGUUAAAAAACAGAAUCAUUUGUUUGAUGUAGGGAUGUCAAGCGGGUUUUUUGAGUCGGGUUUCAAUAAGGUCAAACUUGACUUACAAGUUAUAUGAAUUUUUAGGUUUGGGCUCAUUUUAAAAUGAUUCAAAUUCAACUCGCAUUAUUAUAUGAGUUUCGGAUUUAAAUCGACUUUGGCCCAAACUCAUAAUUAAAUGGGUAAUAUACCAAAAAACUCCCUAUAAUUUGUCAAAUGUAUAAUUUAACUCCCUCUAAUUUGAAAACCACACUAUAAUUUCCUAUGGUUUCAAUUCAAUUGAAAUUGAACAGAAAGCAUUUAAUCUAACGGUUUUAUGUGAAAUGUCAAUAUUGCCCUUAUAUAAAUGAACUCCUUAUAAUUUGUUGAAUGUUCAAUUUAACUUCCUUUAGUUUAAAAAACUGCACUAUAACUCCUUGUGGUUUUGACUAAGUUGAAAAUUGAACGGAAAGCACUUCAUGUAUAGCAAGGGCAAUAUUGAUAUUUCACAUACAAUCGUUAAAUUGGAUGUUUUCUGUCUAAUUUUUAAUUUAGUCGAAACUACAGGGAGUUAUAGUGUAGGUUUCCGAACCAGAGUGAGUUAAAUUGAACAUUUGACAAACCACAGGGAGUUUUUUGUAUUUUAUCCUAAUUAAAUACAUAAUUAUAUAUAAUAUAUUUUAUAAUUAUGAAUUAAUAUAAAUUUACAUAUAAAUUAUUAACAUUUUAUAUCAUAACAUGUACUAAUAUUCAAGGCAUACACUAAUGUGUGUGCAACUAAUAAAAAUAUUUGUGAAAUUUUUGAGUAUAUUUAUUGAAAUCAUUUUCAAAAAAAUUGGUACAUAUGUAAAUUUUCACUAAAAUAAAAGUUAUACAAAGUAGUUAUUUGGUAGUUAUUCAUAACCAUAAUUGAUAGUUGCUAAUUAAAAUUAAGAUUUACUAAAUGAGUUGAAAAAUAGAACAUGAAAAUAUACGUAGUACUUGGUAAAAAAUCAUAUUGGUAGAAAGUAGUUAUCAAAGAUAGAUAUAUUUUGAUUUAUACCAAAAGUUCCUUCAUCAUUAAGGGUAGUUUAGGGAGUAUAUAAUAAAGUAACAUUUUUAUUUACCACAAACCCCCUCCUCUCCCUUUAUGAAUAGAUAUUGUUAUAUAUGUUUUACAUAUAUAACAAUAUACUCAUAUAUGUGUUAGACUUUAAUCGGAUUUGAUCCUAGUAUAAUUUAAACUUGACUCAUAUUUAGUUGAAACCUAAUAUUUAAAUCCAAACUCUAUUGAUCCAACUAAAGUUGAGGUUCAAUGAACAUUUUUGCGCCUAACAGGCAGAGCUCGAACUGGCCGACUCCAUUGACAGUUAUGGUUUGAUGUGCAUGAUUGCAUGGUCCCAUGGCUUUUACUGAACGACUUUUCCUUUUGGUACACCAAAUAAGGAAUGAAUAAAAUUUGGGCGGGCAUGGUUAAUGCAAAUUUUUAUGGUUUUUAUUCUUAGUACAAUGCUUUUUAUUUUGUGGGAUUCUUAGUAUAAUGUUUAUUUUAAUGUUUUGGUAGUCAUGGUAAUCAAAGUGGUACGGGUCGAUGAUGUAAUAUUUAUAUGAUACAUUUUUGGUUCUAUUAAAACUGUCAUAUUUUCUAUUUCUAUUUUGAUCUAUCCUAAAAUUAUUAUUGUUGUUUACCUUGAAUGAUAAAUAUUAUCUUGUCUACUUUUCACAUUUGCCCUUCAACAUGUUGAGAAAAGCUUGUGAGACCCAUAGUGCCAUGCUUAACUUUUUUACAAAGAAUUUUGAAGAAAGUGGACGUGACAUUAUUGGCAUCCAAGAGAACAAUUUGAGAGUCACUGCAAGACUUGACCCCACAGCCCACAUGUUUCUUUUCUUAUUUCCACCAAUGAAGCUACAGCCAACGCGGAGGGAUAGUAUCAGAAAGCUCGGUGGAGGUCUCUGUUAAUAUCACCCAACACUUUUAAAGUUUUAAAAAUAUCACUUACUUCUUUUAAUAAUUAUAAAAAAAAUAUAUUAACUUUUACUUAAUACAUAAUUCACAUAUUAAAUAAAUAAAUAAAUUUUAAAAAAAUUAAAAAAAAAAAGAAACAAAAAUCACUUUUUUUUCUUUCCCUUUUUUCCAACAUUCUCUCUUACUCAUUUUUUUGAAUGACUACGCAAUUUUUUAUUUAUAAAUUAUAUUUAAUUGAAGUUUAUUUAUUUUUACUAUUUGUGAUUGUGAUAGAGUAGGAUGUGAUUUAUUUGUCCAUUUUGAGUUGAUUUUUGUAAUGAUUAGUAGUACAACUUAAAGGCUUGGACUAGAGGUUGAUAAGAAGUUGGGAAAAAAUAUAAGUUUCAUAAGAAGUCAAUCUUAAAGACAUAAAAUUAAAUUAGUGCUAGUGUAUUUAUUUAGAAAUAUCUUUUUAUUUUUCAAAUUUAUAUUUUUAUGAAGCAUGACUUUGUGACGUGGUGAUACUAUUAGAGAUGGCUUUUUAGGUGGUGAUUUUUGGAGUAAAUAAAGUAUUUUAGGAGUAUUUUUAUUUAACAAAAUAAGAAAAAGAGUAGUUUAGGGUUUUCAAAAUUUUGUUAUACAAAUAAGAAAAGUAAGGAAGGUAAAUGAUAAUUUUAAAAUCUAAGAGGUCCUAGAUGAUAAAACAAGUGCUUUCCAAUAUUUUAAAAGAAAUCUCAAGGGAGGUUCCAAUACUGUCCCAAAAGGAAACUAAAACAAAAUAAGUGCUUUCCAUACUACUGUUGAAAAAAAAAGCACAACCUCCAAAGUGUGAGAAAAAAAUUUGGGACGGAAGAAAUAAUAACACAAGUACAAAAAUUUAAGGUGGAAACAUAUCCAUUAAAAAAAAAAGAAGUCAUCAAAUCUUUUUUAUCCGUAAAAAACAGCAAUAAUCAAUUGGUUUUACCAUUGAAAUUGCAUUUUGCAAUAAAGCUCUCACGCUUUUCAAAGCUAAGAGUCUGGUUGUCAGUAAUCUUGUCAGAAGAAUUAGUAUAUAAUUCAACAUGACCGUUUGACAAUUAAAGCUCCCAGCAUAAUACUCUCUCCGUUCUAAAUUGUUCAUCACAUUUUGCAUUUUCAACUUUUUAAAAAUAAUAGUUUGACGGUAAUAUUAGUAGAUUUAUUUGCAAAGUUGUCCUCAAAAUUUUGAAUUUUGAAUUUAAAUUUAGUAAAUAUAUACAUAUAUAUAUAAAGUUAUGAAUAAUAUUGAAAAAAGAGUUUAAGAAUAACUUUGAUUUUAAUAAAAUAAUAAAUAUUUUAAAACAUAUCAAAAUAAAAUAUGUAACACUUUCAGUGAAACAGUAAGAAAUAAGUAUGCGAAAUUAAUGACUAGUGGGAGAAGGUCCUGCGAGGACAGAGGUGCAUGUGCAUUUAGGAUUUAUUCAGCAAUUCGAUGCAAAAUGCAGUGUCGAUGGAGCAAUUAUUCAUUUCCCCCAAGCCACGUACUCU
rnacentral:lncRNA from 1 species